AAAACUAAUUCUUAUAUUUUUACACUUAGAAUUUAUUUGUAAAAUUUGUUCAAAGUUAGAUACUAAACUAGAUAGCACUUAAACUUUGUUAUUUGAAAAUAUUUAUCAAAUCUUCAAUAAUAGUUGAAUAUUUGAGUAUUUUUUCUAUUUAAAUAUGAAUCAUCAUUAAUUUCUUAAAGAUCUAUCAACCACCUCAUAUAAAGCAUAGAUCAUUCUUUGUAACAAACACCAUUUGGCCAAUGUUAAAUUUGUGAACCAACUUAAAAAAUUUGCUUGUAGUUUGACUUAUAAAAUAUUAUAUGCAUAAAUUUAUAUCUAUAUAUAUAUAUAUAUAUAUACAUAUAUAUACUAUAAUUUAGAAUUUUUAAAAUUGAUUAUAAUUAUGAAUGUAUAAAUUAAUUUAUACUUUGAUUAGAUAUCUUAUUAUUAGUUUCAGCAACAUAAAUAUAAUAUUUGGCACACUUUAUAUUAUCAUAAAAAAAUUUAUAUAUAUAUAUAUAUAUAUAUAUAUUUGUCAUACUAUAAAUGAUUUUGAUGUUAUGUUGUUACUUAUGAUUAAUAACAUUUAACUCUAAUUAUUAUUCUAUCUUAUGUCUUUUGAAAGUAAAUAGUUUUUUUUACUAGAUCUUUUAUUAUUUUUAUUAAUACUAUUUUUUUGAAAAAUAUAUUUUAUUUAUUUUUUCAUCUUUAUAUAUAGUAAAUCUUUUAUAAGUUAAACAUAAGAGAUAGAUGGUCUUUAAUACAUAUUUUUUAUAUAUUUAUAUAUAUAUUUUUCUGCUUCUUCUUCUUCUUACUAAUUCAAAACAUGUUAGGAUUAUUUUGUCUUAUUUUUAUUCAAAUAUGAGAAUUAGAAUUGUUAGUAUUGUAUAUUGUAUGACAUCAAUUAUAUCACCUUUUUAUUCUAAUAAGUUAAUAAACAUACAAAUACACAUUAUUAUUUGAUAGAUUUUAUUUUACUUUCAAAGUAAUUAUACAUUACAAUAAUUUAUCUUAUCUUAUAGAUAGACCAAUUUCUUUGACAUCCAUUAUUUCUUCUUAUAGAAAUUAGAAUGUUUUUAGAAUAGCUAAAUUAUUUGUAUUUUUUAUCUUAUAAUUUUAAUUAAAAAUACAAAACUCCAACAAUGGCAUCAAUAACAACAUAAGUUGGAAUGUAUAACUAUGAUUAUUUUUUUAUUAUAUAUUAUUAUAUAACUAUGCUUAAGAUAAUACCUUACAAAAUCUAUAUCAUUUUUUAUUAUGUCAAAGCUUUACAAUUAAUUAUGCACUAUUUAAAAAAAAAAUCUUUUAAAUUAUUCAAGUAUUAUUUAUGACAUGUGAUGCAAAUUGUAUCACUAUAUAUUAAUGUAUAUUAUAUAUUUUUUAUGUAAUAAUUUAAAGUAUCAUAUUUCCAACACAUUUAUUACAUAGUAUCACAUCAUAUGAUUAUUGUUUUAUUAAAUCUAAACAAAAAAAACAUUCCUACCCCAAUAAAUAUUUUAAAUUCACAGACAAAUUGUAUUUCAUAGAUUAUAAACUUUUGGUGUGAUUUUAAAAACCAAUGUUUUGAAUUAACAAUAAAUUAAUGAGCAAAAUAAAAUAAAAUAAAAUAAGAUAAAUUAUUGAAAAAUAUAAAUCAUAUAUAAUAUUUAAGAUAUAAUAUGUCUUUGUUAGUUUUGAUGUGAAUUAAAAUUUUAGGAAUACAAAAUAAAAAGAAAUCUUGAAUACAAUUUAAGCAGUACAACUAAUUGCAAUCUUAAGAAUUUAAUAAUUUCAGAAAUAUGUAGAGUUUUGAAACAUUCUAUAAAUCAUACUGUGCAACUUUUAUUUUCUUAAUUUUUUGUUUUUAUAAAUGUAUUAUAUAGUGACAACAAUAACAACCACAACAAAUCUUUAGAUAAUUAUGAUUAUUAUUUUUUUCAUUUGUAAAAAACUUUGGUGCAGAAUUAAGCGACAUGAAAGAAGUAUGCAACAAGUGAUGGACAGUUUAAAAAAUCACACGAACAAGAGUGUGAAGAAAUCUGAGCGAAUAUCCUGGCACGAGAAAGAGAGAUAGAAAGAAAGAAAAAAAAAAGAAAAAAAAAGGCAAAGCUGAGUACAGUGUGGAAUGAAAACCUCCCUCACUUUCUACUUGCAACACACAUAAAGGAAUAUGAAUCCGAGGCACGUCUUAUUCAAAUAAUUGCAAUCUAGGAAUACACGCCAGGAUACAUGAUGUGAACAGCAACAGUACUGGAAUCCUGCAGCAACAAUCAGAUAGAUUAUUAGCGAGACCUGUUCAGAGCUUCAUCUGCAGUCGCUUCAAGUUCCAUUCGUAGAAAGGUCAAGCAAUAAGACUUCUCACCGACAAUCAAAAGUGCCGAGAGAAGUGCAAGGAUUACCCAUUUUGAAGAGCUGGGUGGGGGCAUAGCUAUUGACAGCAAGCAAGGAAGGAAGAGCUGAGCUACUUCAUGGGGGUGCAUUAUUCUUGCAUGUCUGUGCGUUGUUUGGACCUCUGUACACUCUUGGAGAACCUGAUCGCACCGCGUGACUAGCACUGCGUGAUUCUUCGAUGCUGAGUUUCAUCGGUUGCACUUAAAAUAAGUAAUAGCUGUUUAUCUGCAUUUGGAUGUGAAUCCAGGGAGCGCCGUGAACUGUUCUCCUGGAGAAUCACAUCUUGCUGGGUCGACAAUCCCGCCCACUCUUCACAAGCAUCACGUACAUCCCUCGAAAGAUUUGAUGCUCAUGUCUCUGGUAGCUUGAGUCUAAGCUGGCCAUUGCUAAAGAGGUCUAUGAUCACUUAGUAGCCGUUCGGAUCUAGCGCGUGCCAUUUCUCAUUCGGGAUUUAGUGGAGGUUGGAGAAAGCGAAGGCGGGACGGGAGGUACAACCCUAAGCUCGACGUCUACGUGUUGUUUUGGACAAACAGGCUAUAACUUGCGCAAUGUGGCAGAGUGUAGUAAGGCCUGCAAGCUGUCGGGGCUGAAUUUUCUAGCAAACAAGUAGCACGCAUGGCCAGGAGCUCCGUUAUAUGUGCAUGACUGGUCACUGCGGAUAGUUUUGUAGAAGCUUGCCGCGUUGUGUCUCCCAAAGAUGCCCGGAUGGGAACCUCCUCUUGACCAAUUCAUCGCUGUGACACUUCUCUGCGCUAUCUUGUCCUUGAAUUCUAUGAACAUCAUUGUUGGAAUAUAAUGCUCGUCUGCGUAGCAUACUCCCAGACAAAACUGGCGAAAUUUUUCGUAGUACUUCACGUCGGCGAUGAUGUAGACGGCCAACUCCCGGUUCACCUCGAACCACUGAGCCCCUUUCCUCCAUUGGUCAAUGGUGACCUCUGGUUCCAUACGUGGGUCGUAUCUUCCUCUGCCCACGGGUCCCGGGUCGUCAAAAACACCUACAAAACUUUGGUUGGAGUUCAUCAGAUACUGAUAGGUAAAUGUAAAGUUCCAGAUUGGUGCGCAACUCUCAGAGAGAAGGACAAACCGCUCGUUGUCCAAAUCGAGUAGUGCGUUCGCUAACAACCGCCUCUCAGCAUCGUUCAUUGAAAUAUCACCCCAUUUCACCUCCUGGGUAGAUGAAAGUAGAGCCAAGUUAGACAGUGUCUCUUCCCUGAAGCUAGGACAGACGAACCGCGAACGGCAACGCUCCAGAAAAACCUAUCAUGCACAGAUUGUUACCACGGAGAACUUUUCUUCCAACACCCAUCUGCAGAGCGAUUCUGGUUUCCAGAAACAGAUGUGCGUGUUUUAGCACUGUGAGGAGGUGUUGCUGCAACAACCCAUCUCAGCUAUGGGUGGGACCAGGUCGUCGGAUGCACCAAAAGCUGGUGCCAACUACAACCCUGCAGAACGAUUUAAUUCACCGGCCAAGGAUCAAGAGAGGGAAGGGAGGGAGUCACCAACCUGGCUUAAGACGCGACGACCAUAGAAUACAGAAGACGGCCGCUCGUUGGGUUCGUAUUCAGGAAGAGAGUGGAUGUAUAUGUUGUAAAGAUCUUGGUGACCUUUGAAGAAUUUCUCCCACAGCGGAGCUAGAGGCAAAGGCCCGACAGUCAAAAACAUGAAAGCGACUUUCCGGAUGCGUUUGAGGGGCAUCCCUGGCCGCGUCGGCACCAUAGACGCUCUCCAGAGAAGCUCCUUGUCUUCCAUGCCGUGACACAAAGCCUGCGAAUCGUCAGGGGCCAUUAUGUGCCGGUGAACGCGUUGUUGAGCUCCAGAAACAUACGAUGAAAGCAUGGAUCCUGUGCUUAAGACUCCCGUUACGUGAAGGCUGCAUAUCACCCCUACCACUAAACUAGCGCCUAGUGCGAUGAACAAACAGAAUAUCCUGGAGAGCUUUGAAGGCCACUCCUUCAACGCCUUUCCCCCUGCUGCAUUUCUCAAAAUUGGGCCGUUUCCUACAACAGACUCAACAGCCAGAGAAGUUGUAGACGCUCUAGUCUGCAUUUUCUCUCUGCCGUUUCCAACAAUUCGUGAAAAAAAAAAGUAGAAAAGACCUUCGAGAAUGAAAAAUAAAGCCGGUUCCAAGCCAAACAAUCCUCGCGAUGCUCUAUCUCUAUGUGAUUUCGCACAGGUGCUAAAUAAACAACUACUCAGUCCGGCCUCUCGAUCUUCAGUCACAAGGCAAAAGAAUAAGAUUCUCACUCAGCUAUCACAUAUCCUCUCUGUGAUAGAGCUACCACCCAAAUCGUGGAUACAACCUGCGUCUCCCUCAUUCUUGGUCUGCAAGUUUAUAAAAAAAUCGAUCUCGUCGCUCCUUCCUAACCUGUUAUGAACAACGAGAACCAAUGGAAUGAUUCCUCACCUCGAUUGCCAAUUCUAGGCUGUUUCGCUCACAGCAAUACCCACGAUCCAUGCCAUCUCUCAACACCCUCACCGGUCAACAGCCUGCUAAUGCAACAAACUUUCGGCCCUGAUCAUACCUCCCUUAGCUGAACCGGUCCCACACACGCGAAUGAAAGGCUAAGCAAAGACGAAAAAGAAAUGAAGAAGAAGAAGAGGAAGAGGAAGUGAAGUGAGAAGGAAAAAUCAAAUAAAAAUACGUGGCAUCUAUAUUUACAGAUCUGAACUGAAUUAUUCUACCUCGCAGCUUCACUUCGUCAAACACUGCUACUCACUCAAUGGCUCAAUCAGUCAGCUUGAGUAUGCAGUUGGCACACCAAACCUUGCUUUUUUCUUUCUGUUCUCAGCAUCCGAACUCUCCACCACAGCCAAGAGUAAUGAGUCUCUGCAUUAUCAUCUUUGUGCACCACCACCACCUAUGCCGCUAAAAUAAUUAAAAAAGUAAAACCUAAAGGUGUAUCUUGUUGAACAGUGUUUUGAGGGGAGUUUUUUUGUUGGCUGUAGUACUUUUAAAACGGUCAACAAAACAAAACUACUUUCAGUGUUGAAUUCACGCUUGGGCUUUUGUAAUGUUUUUUCAAAUGCUUUUUUAUUUGUUUCCUUGGCAAAUCGAACGUGUUGAGAAGCACCACUAGAUGAUGCUUGACUUUUGGAUAAUUACAUUCUUGCAAUCUUAUAAAAACAUAAAACAUAUAUGUUGAAAUUUCCUCUUAUGCAUUUCAGAAGAAAAUGUUUUCGACCUAAGAUAUAUAGGUUCUUUUCUUUUCAGAUAGGUCAUAUAACAUACUGAAUUGGAAAAACGUAUGUGCACAAAGUAGCAGAUUUAACAAACAAUUUUAGCAAGACUAGAAUAUGACUGUAAUUAUUCAAGUAUUCAAAAAUAUUUAACCUAAAAACAUCAACAAUUUCAGCACAACUAUCACGAAUCAUCAAAAUCUCUAAAAUCUUUCAGACACUCAAAGGAGUUAUCUAAUAAUAAUAAUCUGAAGGAAUGCAUAUUGGAUAGGAAGUAUAAAUUGCUCAUUCUAUUUUGUGGUACAAGAAUCAUUAAAUGAUCCCAGGGUUUGAACAAUGGCACCAGGUACACCAAAUGGACAGAUUUUACAAACAUACUUUAAAAUAAUAAAUGUAUUGAGAAAGCUAUAAGCUUCUAUCAUCACAUUAAAUUAAUUAUACAAAUAAACAUGGCUAUUGAUUAUAUAGGCUAGUACUAUGAUAUCUUAAUUAAAAUUUGUUAUUUGCUAGAACAAACAAGUCCAAUAGCACUAGGUAAGUUGAAGGUUCAAGAGCAACAAUUGGGAGUAGAUAAGAGAGACAUUCACAAGUCUGCCACUAAAACCAGAGGCACAUCUUGAAUAUGCAUAUUUAUAGUCUUUUGUGUUAUAAUAAGAGAUAUUGGAUUGUAUAAUUGUUUUUUAUAUGAAUUAUUUAGAAAUAUAGAAAAUAAAUAUAAAUUUAAAAAAUAAUAUCAAAGUAUAAUGAUUCAAAAAAUUGUUUCAAUGUUGACAUAUUUUAGAAAGAAUGGUGUAUUACAAAUAAAUUGUAGUAAAUAAUGAUAUGUGGUUUGUAUAGCAAAUAAAAUACUACUUUACAGCUACCAAAUCAGCUCAAGUUGAAAAGAAUCCAUUUAAAAAUUACAAAUGAUAUUUUGAGUGUCGUGUCUAAUUUUUGGAUUCUAUCAAUUAUUUAACAUUACAGCAUUCUAUCAUCAUUAGAUUUACUAUGAUAAUAUUAUUACUAAUCUAAUGACAUCAUUAAGGCUUACUAGCAGCUAUAAAAGCACCAUUCUUAAUCACAAUUCUUGGCACAGAUAUAUUCCAAAUUACCACAUUCUAUGACCUUCUAGAAUCUUCUACAAAUUUCUAGAACCUUUUAGAUAUUUAUAGAAUCUUCCAUAAACUUUUAGAAAGUUUCAUACGCUUCUAGAAGCCUCUUUGAAUUUCUAGAAGCUUCUUUAGACUUCUAAAAACUUCCAUAGAAAGUACCAUAGACUUCUGUAAACUUCAUUAUAGUAUAAAUAGGAGUCUUUGGAACCACUUGUACUAUCAAUUUCAUUCUGUCUUUAAUUUUGACAUAUUUCUUUUUCAAAUUUUUGUGUCUUUGACAAUUUCUUGAACAACCACAAGAUCCAUUUCCCGCUCUCUUCAAGACAACAAUAACUUUGCUCUUCUUUAUUUUCAAAAAUCUUAUAGUCAAAUUGCUUCUGAACUUCGCUACAACUAAGCUACUAUCUUUAGGCUUACAAAAAAUAUCACUUUUAAUAAGGAGAACCUUAAAUUAAGCAGACUAAAGAAGCUCACUAUAAUAGAUGAAAGAGCAAUCAUUUACGAAAUCAACAUUAAGAAGGCUAAAAAUGUUGUUGAAAUUGCUAAAAAACUUUACAAUAUUAUUUGUAAUCAUGUGUCAAUUCAAACCAUUUGAAAUGUUUUCAAGAAAUGGAAUAUGAAAGCCGUGGUAAAAAAAAAAAAUCUAUCUAUAUAUAUAUAUAUAUAUUAUUUACUUGCCAUCAAAAACAAUGCUUGGAUUUUGCUAUGAAGUACAAAGAAAGGACUACAUAGAAUUGGAAGAGGGUAAUUUGGUUAGAUGAGAUAAAAAUCAACAAAUUUGGGUCAGAUGGUACAAAGUAGAUGUAGAAACAAAAAGGUUAGUUUUGGCUUAACGAAAAGAUCUAAGAAGUAGUUAAGCAUGGGAGUAGAAAUAUAAUGAUAUGGAGUUGUAUGGGAUAGAAUGGAUUUGAGAGGGUGGCAUAAGUUGAAGGGAAGAUGGAUACCAAGCAAUUUAUAGAAAUUCUUCAAGGCUACCAAGGCCAAAGGAUGUCCUAUAAAGUAUUGAUAUGUAAUUGGAUACCACAUCCAAAAAAAUGUUAUAAUAAUAUUCCAAAUUGGAUUGAUCAUAGCUCCACAAUUAUUUAAUGGAUUCCUUUCAAUCUAAGCUCAUUUGAUAGCUAUAAAAGAAUACUUUAUUUGCUAUACAAACCACGUGUCAUUAUUCAUUAUAAUUUAUUUGUAAUACACCAUUCUUUCCAAAAUAUGUCAACAUUGAAAUAUUUUUUUAAAUCACUGUAUAUUAUGGUAUUAAUUUUGUAGCUUAUCCAAAAAAAAAUUUAUAUAUAUAUAUAUAUAUAUAUAUAUAUAUAUAUAUAUAUUAUAAUAAAAAUAUAUUUAAAAUUAUCAAAAAUUAAAAAUAUUUUAAAAUUUUUAACUCUCAUUAUUUUGCUUGUAAAUAAAUAAAAUAAUAAAAUAAAAUAAUAAAAAAAUAAUAAAAAGAAAAAAAAAAGAUAGUACAGGCUAUUUUAACAAUAGUAUAUAUAAAAAAACAAAAAAUAAUAAUAACUUUGUAUGUUAGUUAAAAAUGCUAAUUUAAAGACUUUUAUUGUUGCUAAAUUUAUAAUGUACAACUAAAUAAUUUUGGAUUCUAAAAAGUAUAUUACAAUAACUUUAUUAUUAUUAACUUAUAUAUUUUAAAAUUAAUAAUUAUUUAUAGAUAAAUAAGCUUAGAUAUAUUUUAUAAUACAGCAAAUAUAUAAGUUUUGAGAAAGAUUCAAACUUAUGCUACAAUAUAUCAAAGGUGGUUAUUGUAUUGUGAUUUUAGAUAUCUUUAUAUUAUAUUACUAUUUUUUUUAAAGAAUAUAUUAUAAAUUCAUUAAAAAUUUUGAAUUGGAAAUUAUGUUUUUAAGUUAUAUUGAAAUCCAAAAUUAAUUGUUUGCAUAUUUACAAAUCCCUCCAUCAAUUAUUGGCAAAAAAACCAAGAAACAUGUCAAAUACAUAUUUCUAUAGUUGUGGCUAUUUAAAACUCAAACAAUAAUCCAGAUCCAACUUUUUUAAUUCUUCUACUCUAAAUAUAAUCAAAUUUGAAUUUUUCACACUCAAGAAAUUAUUUGCCAAAUCACAAUUGGACCAUUUGGUAAAUCAUGUGACAAAUGUAACCAUAUAAAAUAUAUAUAUAUAUACAUAUAUAUAUAUAUAUAUUAAUGUCACCAUAUAAAAAUUCUCAUUACUUUGAUGAAAUCUAAAUUGUAGCAGGUGGAUUAAUUGCAGAAUUUAACAAAUAACAUUAAUACAACCAUUAACAUUUUUGGAAUCCCUUAACCAAAUACAACCUUCAGUUGCUCUAUCCUACAAAUUUUAAUGCCACAAAUUUUGUUAAGUUUUUUCUCACAAAAUGGAUCAAUGGACACAUAUAUGAGUGGUAAAAAGUUAUAUGAAAAAUAACAAGCAAGCUAUUCUUGGAAUUGUAUAUGAUAGAAAUAUGUAGCAUAAAUUUGAAAAGAGAUUAUACAAGAAUUUGGAUGUAUGAUAGGAUAGACAUGUUUGUUUGUUUGUUUGUUUGUUUUGUUUUAUUUUUUUUAUUCAUUUAUUUUUGAAUGAAUAAUAGUUAUAUUAAUAAAAAAAUAAGAUACCAAUUAGUUUGGGUCCAAAGAGUGGGAAGGCAAUACUAAUAAAGCUAAGAUCAUUAUCCAUUGAAUUGAGACAAGGUUACACAUUGUGAGCUCUCAAUUGUACUCUAUAAUCUAAAUUUUUGUUAUUUUCUUAUGUUAUGAUAAUUGGGCAUGUUAGAUUAGAAUUUAUAUAAGUGGAAUUUAGUUUUAUAGAAUUUUUAGGAUUACAACCCUUGAUCGUAUAAAUUAUAGCCUAAUUCCUUGAAUUAGGUUAGUUAGGACUAAAGUGAUAAGAGUUAGAAAAUUAGAAUAACAACUCAGUUAGUUCAAUAAUUUAGAGUUUGUUAGUCAUUACCAUGAGGGUUGAUUAAAAGCCUAUGAGUGCACCUAUAAUCAUUCACAUGAUUUAGGAGUUGGAAUUAUAAUUCUCUAAAAGAUUCAAGAAAGUUAGCUAUGAUGAUUUUGAGUUUUCCUCCAAUUUCGACAAAUUCAAGCAACAUGGUGGUUCUUCUUAUUAAUAAGGGUCUUUUUAAUGCAAUGGUGGCACCAGAUUUAUCCCGUGGAGUGAAGAAAACAAGAUCAGCACCGUCUCCUUUAAAAUACAAGUGAAGCAAUGAAAUUCUCAUUUUGAAGAAUUUUACAAAAAAAUUGCCAAGAUCCUCGUAAGUAAAAACUUCCAUGAAAAUUAUAGUUGAGCAUGGAUUGAGGCAUAUGAAUAGUCGAUCUCAGCUUUUAAAAGUGUUUUGAACACAAUGGUGAAGUUAGAUUUACCAAAAAAUGCUUUCUUGACCACUUACAAGAGCCAUCAGCCUUGGUAACGAGAUUGGCCCUUGGAUGAAUGAAGGCAAUAGAUCUAGAUUAGAGAUCUUAAAAAUCAAGGGUGGAGAUGUAGCCUCCACUCAAUUGUAUAAGAGAAGCUUAGUUUUCCAAGCCCUCUCUCUCUCUCUCUCUCUCUCUCUCUUCUUUUGGAUGAAGAACAAAGCCAUGCCAAAAUUUGGCCAAAAUCCUAAUUUUAAUUUUAUUUAGAUUUUAAAUCUCAUUGUGAACCUUAUGAUUGUGUGUGUAUGGAUUUUGAAUUGUUAAGGAUGGUCAUUAAGUUUUAAAAUAUGCUUCAUUGAGGUAGAUAGCUCCUCGGCCUUCCAAAUACCCCAAAGGUUUCAAGGGCCUCGGAUUUUCUUCAAUCAAUCACUCUGUUUCUUUUUUUUUGAUAUGAAAUUCUAAGUAGUUGUAGCUUUUGUUGUUAGCUUUUUGACAAGAUAUGACUCACUUGAUUUGGAGUAAGAAGGAAGUUUUGGUGAAUUUUUGAGUUUGAAGGAGUGGAUUGCCUUUGCAAUUUGAAUCAAUCAAGUUCAGAAAGGCAUUUCUCAAUGCCUGAUUAUUGGUGUUAUUUGAAAUUUUGGGAGCAUCAAAUCUUAUAAGUUAAGCUCUGAAAGGCAUAAGAUUUGUUGGAUUUGAAGACAGUCUAAAUUUUUAGUGAAUUUCUAAGUAAAGAGGGUUGGUCGUCAUGGCAGUUUAUAUCACUCAACUUUAAAGGAGGAAUUCUCACGCCUGAAUCAUUAGUUGCAUCGAGAAUUGUUAAAUCAAGAGUGUCUUUAAGUUAGCCUUGCAAUAAGCUAAAUAUCAUUCAAAUCGAAGCUGAUUCAAAUUUUAGCAAAUUUUGGAGUAGAAGGAGGUCAUUGCCUUCAAUCCUUGUGUAUUGUCAAGGUAUCUUCGCUUUUACCUCUCUUACUUUAUUUUUACUAUCAUCUUCACAGUGACUUGUAAUCUCUACAUUUCACCUUUUGGCUAAUAAAUUUUAAAUUUAACUUGUAACCUUUAAUAUUCUCACUUUAACUUUUAAUUUUAACUUUUAACUUAACCUUUUAAUUUUAACUUUUAACUUAACUUUUUAAAUUUAACUUUCAACUUAAAUUCUAAUUCAAACUUAAUUUUUUAUCCUUAUGAUCAAUUAAUAGUAAAAACUUAGUUAAUUAUUUUUACUAUAUUUAUAUAGUAAAUUUUAUUUAUUAUUUUAAUUUAAUAUCGGUAACUAUUCCUUAGAAGGUGUUAAUUUGAAUUGAACUAUAAACAUCCAUAUUUAAAUUAACUCAAAAAUUUCACAAUUGGGAGUCCCUCCAUUCUAUCCCCUGAACUUGUUGUAUGGCAUCAAUUUAAUGAGGGGUGAAUUUGGAGCUCACAUGCAUACAAAAGACUUGUGAGCUAUAUGAGACUUGGUCAAAAUCUUUUUUGAACAUUUUUUUGAUGUUCUUUAUCAUAUUUUUUGUAUAAAAUUAAAUAUAUGAUUUUGUCAAUAUAUGAUUUUUUCUUUAUGCCAGUGUAAAUUAUUUUUUCUCAAGCACUAUGGUAUAUCUUUGAAAUGUCAAUCUUUUCUUCAGAGAAGAUUAGGUUGUACCUUGUGCACCAAAUGUACUACAACAAGGUGUUGUGGAGGACAUCCUUCGCUAUGACUAGUAUAUGGAGGAUAUGUAGAUUCUAUUGAUUUGACUGCCAAAAGAGACAAUUAUAUAAAUCCUCUCUCCAUGAAGAGAAUGGAAGUAAGUCUAAGGUAUUCUAGGUGGUUGGAUAGCAAUGUCACGCUUUGUGAGAAAAUUUGCAAUUCCAAAGGUAGUUGACAGAUAUUGUUGUUAUAUAUCAACUUCAUUGUUGCACAUUAAUUUUUAGUAGGCAAUCCACAUGAUUUAAGAAGCCACAAAAAUAUUAAAAAUUAUAUUGGCUUAUAUUUAUUCUAUAUAAAUUAAAUUGAAUCAAUUUUUUAUUUUGAUAUGAGGCCAAGGAUAUCUUGUUUGGAAUGAAGGCAAGUGACUUCGAGCUUGUCAAGAAGAAUAAUAUUGUUUCUAUGUUACAAGGAAUGAUUGAAGAAUUUUGUAGCACUUCCAUUUAGUUGGAUCAUAUGCAAGUGAACACACAUUAUUCAUGCAUCAUAUAUGACCAUUGUAUGAGAUGUCCAAAUUUAUAUGGAUGGUGCAAAGGUCUUUGAUUGAUGUAAAUACUUGUAUCUUAUGUAGGUCGAGGCUAGUGAUAUCUAUGUUAGGUUUAGCAUUUUGGCAUGUAUAAAAGUAAAUCAAAAUGGGUGCAAAUACAACAUCUUUAUAAAAGCUACAAGUUUGUAAUAGGAAUUUGAUUCCUUGAACUAGUCAUAAUAUUGCUACUUAGUCCAAAGAUUUAAAAGCUAGGUAUUAGUUCAUAUUCUAGUAGCCAAGUAUAGAAUCUAAAAAGUUCUUUUGGUAUUGAUCUAUGUUUUGGAGGCUUACAAUUUGUUUGAGCUUGGCUAUAGAUUUUUAAUCCUUCUAUUGGUCAUAUUAGAGGUCUUUAAAUUAAAUAAUGUCUUUACUCAUUUGUAUACUCUUAAAUGAGUAAAGAACAUCUCUUAGCAUAUUUUGGUGGGAAUCAAGUAUCUCUUUGUUCCAAAAAAGACAUUGACAAGCUAUAGAGUCAAUAUAGAAAAAUUGUUGGAAUUCUAGUCUAUAUCGGAUUUUAGUCCAUACCUGCUAAAUUGCCAACCAUAAGUCAAAUCUGAGUCCUCUAACUUCUCUAGCAUAAAAGAUGAAGUUUAUGUGAGAAGAGCCAUUUAUUUUUUCAUUUUGGAUAAAGCAAGGUGAUGCAGUGCUUUAUGAGUAUCUACCAUAGAAUAUUUUUAGGAUGCAUUCUUCUUAUAAAAAGAUUAGCAAGAAGGGCCUAUUUUUGAAGGUAUUUGUAAUUUUAUAGAGUGAUAAAAGAUAUUCUAUUUUUUCUAUUGAAUAUAUUUUUAGACCAUAAACAUAUCCAAUCUAGUUAGAUUCACUUUGAAUUUUUUGUCGUCUAUUAUUAAUAUGAGAUGAAAUUUAAAAAUCAUAUAUAUAUUUUUUUAUACUAACGGCAUUACUUUAAAAUAAAAAUUACUCAUAAUUAAAAAUAUAAAUAAAUAUAUAAAUAUAAUAUUCAAAUUAAAAAAUAUAUUUUUUAAUUAAGUUAUUAAGUUUAUUUUUUACUAAAUAUUCUCUAAAAAUAUAAUAAAUUAUGAAGUAAAAAUAAUAUUUAGAAUAUUCUUUUAAUUUCACACAAAGAAUAAAAAUUAUAUAAAAGAUUUUCUAAAAUAUCUUCUUUUUGUAUUAAAAAUUAAUUUAAAAAGUCUAAAAAAAUUAAAAUUAAUUGAAAUUAUUUAACAAAUAAAAUAAAAAAUACUAAUUAAAUAUAAAUAAUUUAUUUUGAAAAAAAAUCUAUAAAAAGAUGGUAUUGUAAAAAUAUCACAUCAAGAUUUGUAUUAAAACUAUCAAAAGUGUUUUUCACAAAUAUAUUUAUAUUUGAUUUUAUACGAUUUUUUUAUAUUUUUAUAUAAUUUAUUAUUAUGUAGAAAUUCUAUAAUAAUUACUAAGACUAUUAAUCUUAUCUUAUUUGAAGAUAUUAAUAAUAUGAUUAUUACUUUUGUUCUUUGAAAUAAAAAACAUGUUUUCUUGGCAACUAAUAAGGAUAGAUGAUGUUUUAUUUUUAACUAAACUUUUAAAUAUCAAUUAUUAUAUUUUAAAAAUACUAAUAAAAUUUAUUUUUUUCAAAAAUAAUAUUUAAUUUUAAAUUAAUUUUAAGAUUGUUAUAACUUAAAUAAUUUCUAAGUAGACACCAUUUUUCAAUGCAUAAUCACCUCUCAUGUCAUGUACUCCUAUAUACAUACAAAAAAAUAAUUAUAUAUAUAUAUAUAUAUAUAUAUAUGAAAAUAUUAAAGUGAUCCAUCUAUUUACUAAAAAGAUAUAACUUAUUAUAAUCAUGAUUAGAAAAAUGGAUCAUCUGCAGAAAUUAUCAUUACAAUCAUAACUUUUAUUCCAACUCUCUUCUUUUGGAGUCUCUGCUUCCUCUGUUUUUAAUUCUCAUCUCUACCUUCUCCCCUCUCCCUUUUCCAUUUCAUUUCUAAUUUCUUCAGAGCUACACACAUGAGUUGUUGGAGGUUAAGAUAAUAUAUAAAGAUUGCUUAUUGAGAUUGCCUAAAGAUCAUUAUUAUCUUUGCCACAUUUUGCAUCUUUAAUCCAAUCAUAUAAACACAAGUUUGAUUAAGUCAAUCUUCAACAGCUCAUAUUUAUAGUUUUGAAGGAGUUAAGAACAAGGAAAAAAAUAGGGUCAAGAUGAGAGCUAGAAAUGAAGGAAGGAAGAGGUGAAAAUAAGAGAGGUUAGAAUGAAGGUGUCAAGGACAUGAAUCUUGAAGAAAGAAAACCUCAAUACAAUCUUAUGUCACUCAAAAAGAUUACAAAAUCACUCAAAGAUGUUAUAGUAUUAAACUAGAAUGGCUAUUGCCAAAGACAAGGAGAGUAGAAAGUCUUGAAAACAAGACUAAAGUCUAGAAAGGCAUUGACAAGAAUGAAAAAGGCUUCACUCUUGCCUCUAUAUAUAUUCUUAACUAAAAGCUACAUGGUGGUAUCCUAUAGGACCUCCAAAACGUAUUGAUUGUGCAAGAUAUGUAUCUUCUUGCAAGGUAAGUUUUCUAUGUAAACGCCACAUAGUUAGCUUGUUUCGCAAGCUAUCAACAAGUAGUUAACUUGUUGAUUAAGUUUCUAACCUACCAAUCAACUAGAAAUACAUAUAAAGUCAAAGCAACAUCUAUAAAGAUUUAAAGAAGCUUCUUUAGAAAACAUUAUGAAAUAAAUUUAUUUUUAUCUAAUUCUAUUUAAUCAUAUGAUAAAUAUUAGAAUAAAUAUGUAUGUUCAUGACAAAGGGUCAUGAUUGUAAUAAUAGUUUCUAGAGAUGAUUCAUUUUUCUAAUGAUGGUUACAAUAGGGGAGGUCUAUUUAGUAAAUAGAUAGAUGACUUUAACAUUAUCUUAUAUGUCUAUAUAUAUAUAUAUAUAUAUAUAUAUAUAUAUUAAAAAAUUAGAGUAUAUAAUUGAAAUCAAUAAGUAUUUAAAUUUUUGAAUAUUUAAGAAAUUCUUAAGUUAUAGUAAUAAUUACAAUAAUUUGUGAUGUAUUAAAAAAUCUAUUUAAAAAUAAUUAUAAUCUUAGAAGAAUUUCAAUAUAAUAAUAAGAUGUUUAAAAAAGAUAAUUUGGUGUACAUUUAAAGAAGUAUUUUGUAAAUAUAAUCAAUAAUCAUUAAAAAUUCAUAAUUAAGCUAAUGAAAAAAUUGAAUUAUUUAAGAUAUUUUUAAUAAAUACUCUUCUAUCAAAUAGUUGUAGUAUUAUUGUAUAGCUAAUUCUUGAAAAUCUCAAAUAACCAAAAAAUAAAUUAAAAGAUUAAUACUCACAUUUCUUAGCAAGAAUGUAUUUUGUAAAUAAAUUAUUUUUAUCAUCUAAUAAAUAUUCUAUCUAAUACAAGAAAAUUUGUUAUCCAUUAUUUUUUACAUAGUAUGUUUUAAUUUUUGCAUUUUUUACUUAAUUGGUUAGACAUUAUAGUACAGCUUUACAAAACAAUCUAAUGUACAUUAUAGUACAGCUCUUCAUAACAUCUAUAACAUCCACAUACACUCUUCUAAUUCACUUAACUUAACAUGCUUAUAUGCUCUAAUAUUUUAAGAUUCUCAUAUUUUUGACUUUUUCAACAAAAUAAAUAAAAAAUAGACAUAAUAACAUAAUAUAUUAUAAUAUAUAAAAAAAUAGUACCUAUUUAAUAAAUAAAAUUUCAAUAUUAUCGUGGUUGAUUCUUUAAAUUUUCAUGAUGUUGAAUUAGAAUCAAGAAAUGAUAGCUUAAAUGAAAAACUAAAUUUCUAACACAACUUAUAAAUUAAUUUGUAAAGCAAUUUCUUCACAAUUCUAAAAUCUUAAUUAGUAUUUUUAUUUACUAUUACAUAUAUAGAUAAUUUUAAAUAGUGAUAUUAAAAAAACCAAUCUCAAAAUAGAUACUAUAAUUUAUCUAAAAUUGACUUAAAGAAAACUUUACUCAAUUCAGAAUAUUUGGAAUAUAAAAUGUAAUACCACUUGAAAUUACUUACAUGAAAUGUAUGAGUAAAUAUACAUCAUAAAAAAUCUACAUAAUAUGGAUAUUUAAAAUAAUAUUAUGAAGUCAUCAUUUUGUCUAGAACAAACAUUAUUUCUUCUACAUUCUAGGAGUUUCCAUAGAUUUUUGCCUGUAUAUUUAUGGCCUGUUUAAUACAAAUACGAAGUCUACAAAAACUUUAAGCAAUUGUCAUCUAAUAAUAUAAAAUGUACUAAUAAACAUUUAAAUGGAUGCUAUUAGCAAACCAUGUAAAAAUGCACACACGCACUUAAACAAUGUAUGAGAUCCCUGAAUUUGAACAAAUCAUAUUCAAGUAUCAAAUCACACAAAAAGCAAUGAACGUGUGCACAAAACUAAAACCUCAGAAUGAUUUGGGGUAAAUUCAGACACACAUUCCGUAACAAACCUUGGAUCAGAACCAGAUCCAUGGCUCUUGUGGGUGAUUGCAAUAAUUGUACUUGCCUGAUCGUCACGUCUGAGUUCACUCCCGUGAUUGUGGUUCAGUUAUAAUUGUGAGUGAGGAUUUCAAAACAUGCAGUGAUUGCAUAAAUGAGCCUCUCAAAUGAUCAUGGACUGACAGUUUUGGAAGCUGCCUGCAAACACACACACUCUGUCCCAAGGCUAUGGAAUACGUACAAUCCUCUCAACACUCACAUCGUCAGAGCUUACCCACGAGCUUUUCUGCAGUGGUGGCCAACUUUCACCAACCUCCCACCGGUUUCAUGGCAGUAUGUCACAUUCCCCUCGACAGCAAGAGUAUUACAUGCGUGACUGACCAACUUGGGUGGUAGCUAACACCGAAGUGCCCAAGGAUGACACUAAAUCAGGUCGUCAGCUCACUUCCCUCGAGCAGUAACCGUACAUUCCUGGUGAGAUGAAAAUCACAACAAUGGCAGCUUUGGUAUCACACCAGCAUAUAGAACGGGAAAAGAAAAGAAGAAGAAGAAGAAAAAAAAAAGCAGUGUACGAACUGGAAAACCUGGUCUGAUGUGAAAAAAGCGACUAAUCCUACAAUUCCAUAGGUUGAAAGGGACAACAAAGACACAAAGCUCAGUUGGAUGGAAAUGCAAGCACCCUCCAACUCGGCCCAGAGGACACUCCAGCUAAAUGAAGCUCUGUCAACGUAAAUUCCUUCUAGAUCUAUCUCUCUGCAGCUAAGGAAACUGAUACGAACUGUAAUCUAGGAUUCGGAAGGUGCCCAUGUGUAGGAGCAUCGAAGAUGUAUCCUAUGGUCAUAGCGAAGUAACUCCACGCAGGCUUGGCGCUUCAGCUUGUAUCCGUAACAUCAUUGCAGCUAUGGUACUGUUCAUGGUAAACACGCCUCCAUUACUUGAUUGCGAUUCAUGAAUCUUCGUCAGAAUUGUUUCCCCCUCCUUUUGUUGCAUGCCUCAAAACCAUUUUCUCAACGUAGUCUUUCUGGAUCCUCGCCCUGACGGCAUCAGCAUCGGUCUCACCGGGCUCGCCGAGAACAGGCCCAACUUGACUAAGCACCAGCGCCACAUCUGCAUAAAUCGCAAUUUUAGGGUCAGGUGUCAGUGAUUUAUUCUGUUUCUUUGUUAAGAUUACGAAGAAAGAUUAUGCUUGUUGGAAAAGGCAACCGCGCUAGAAGCAUUACCUUCAGGAGUGCAUUUUGGACCUCCAAAUCUUCGCAGGCCCACCAAGUUGGCCAUGACAUUGGUGCUAUUAUAAACUAACAAGGUGGGAAGAAGGUUGUCUGGGUAAUUCUUAAUGCAAUCCGUAGAAACGAUCUUCACGAACUUCGUAUUGGUAUACUUCGCCGCCAGUUGAUUUAAGCACUGCCCCAGCAACUCACAUUCUGCUAACCUGUCAGAGCAGUAGGUCACCUAAUUCUUAACCAAACCGCAUUUCAUUCAAUGCACAAUGUAAAACAACUUGACUAAAAAAAUGACUUCAAAUUUCUGUCGACAUCUUCCUAUCACAAAGGUUUAUGACUGGUGGGAUGAGGAGCAAUGAACAUACGAUCACUACUAAGAAGUUAGAGACUAACCCGUCUUUGAAAAGAUGGACAACGACCCACACAUCAGCAGGUGCUUGAGAGACCUCCCUAACGUAAUCGGAGCCUGAAAUUCGCUGCACGGACCCAAAUCGCGGUUUACUUGCCACUUCCCUCAUUUCUGCCAACCGCUGCUUUCUGCGGGCAGGAUAUAAUUAUCAGGUGUCAAGUCUGAGCAUCGUACUACUAAUGUCAUGCUCGUCAUAAUUAAACAAGCAAUUCUUCGUUUCAGAACCGACAUCCAGGAUUUCUAGGCGACAGAAAAAAAUACAAUGUAACAAGAAGGAUAGGAAAAGGAGAUUUAUCUCUCCGAUGGCAAGAUCAUCAAUCUACUGAACAAGGUACGAAUUCGAAUUCUUAGUUCAAUCUGAUUCUCAGGUAUUCCGAGACGAGACAGUUUGAAAAACAAUUAAAUCUAAACUUGUGGGAUUCCACGCAAUACUUAUUUUCCAUGGCAGAUUUGGGCAUGGAUCUGAGGAACUAGAGAGUGUAACCGGAGUGAAAAUAAGAGGAAGGAUUUGGAAUCCGACCCUGGCAAAGAUGAUAUUUCGAAAAUGAGCACGGAGCACUUCAAAAUUUCACGACAAUACCGAGACAAAAUACUGCAUAAAUGAACAAAACACUGGCAAAACCAUACCGAUACUGCUCGAGGAACCGAUCAUCUUCUAACAGAGAAUCGUCUUCCAAAUCCUCAAGCUCAUCAAUGGACUUCCCAUCCAGCCAUGCUGCAUCCUUGGGAGCGUUUUCCAGAUCGGAAUCCGGGACCCAGCCCGGGGUUGGCUUGGGCUUGGGCUUCUCGGGCAAGUUCCCGAGCUUUCGCUGAAUAUCAUCCCACUGCGUGCUGGUGCCCUCCGCAUCCUUGUACACAAAAUUAUCACCCAUUGUGACCAGAUCCUACUCUCAAAGCUACUUACACAAUCGAAAACUUCCUUUCUCUCCAAAUAGCGACACUCUAAACACCCAAAACCUCUCUUCGGCGCACUUCAACAAGCUCGAAAGGAAAACCAAGAGUCUACAACCUAACAACAAAUCAGAGCUUGAACAACUCAAUCUCGAUGCAUUCGCGCUUGGGCCACACUCUGUACUGCAUUCACUCGAAGAAUCCCCGAAACUCCAUCAAAAAUCCAGCUGCAACUUCGAGCCGAUGAUUUGCACAAAUUCUGAUUAACGCUGCCCCUAAAACUUCCGCAAAUCGGCGACCCACAAAUCCACUGAGAAAACAAAACCUAUUCUGUGCCGUGGCCAAAUGCGAAAUAAAGUUCAUUCGUAGGUCGCCACUUCGUCAUCACAAAAUCAUCCAAAACAGCACUAGUCGCGACAUCAUCUCCUGUAUUCCUUAUCACUACAAAUAGAUUAUGCCUACUAAGUACAUAUUAUAAAAUACAAUCUCUUAUAUAAAUUAGUUCAAGGAUUAACCAACGGCAUAAAUCGAAGGAGACCAUCUGUGAUUGGCUGCAAAUUUCAUUUUUUUUAUUAAAACUGAAAUAAAAGUAAAGAAAUAAUUCAACUUUUGAUCAAUCAAAGAUCAAAAUUUGCAUUUUGUUAUAGAUUGUCAAGAGUAGUACUGCAAGAUCACUAGGCGUGGAACAUCGGUUUCUACUAGUAUUUUAUAAAGAAAUUACAAAAUCAAUCCACCAUUUUAUUAAAUUUACCCACCCUCCUUCCAAUCCCACCCAUUUUACUAAAUCAACUCAAUCCCUUGGUUUUAUAAAUGAAAUUGCUAGAUCAAUCAAGAAUUGUAGAAAAGUUUAUUGUGGUAUUGGGACUUGAAAAAUUGAACGUAUAAGACAAGUACAAGAAUUAUGUUUACAUAUUCUACAUCUAUGCAAAGAUCCUUGUGUAUGUCUUCUACAAUUUCAAAUUACAAUGGAUCUCAUUGUGUAGAUGUCUCCACCCAUGCAACACUUUGUUGCAAUUGGUUAUGGGAUUAAAAGGGGUGCGGAGGGGUGGAUUGAUUUAGCAAUUCUCUUUUUUAAUGUUGAAUAUAUAUAUAUAUAUAUAUAUAUAUAUAUAUAUAUGGCUAUGUCAUGUCAUGUGGCUAUGUGCAAUUUUAUAAGUUUUCACAAAUACAUGACUCCACCUCAAAGAAUACUCUAAAGGGGUAUUCUCUUGCACAAAUAACUUGAAGCAGUGAUAAUGAGUAAUUAAACAAACAUAAAAUGGUGAAGAUAAUUAAAUAUUUAGAAGAGUAUAAGUUUGAUGAUUUUACAAAGUGAAGCAAGUAGAGUUUCUUUUAUUAGCAAGACAAUUAAAUUUUAAAAUCACAAAAAGAAAGAAAGAAAAAAAAGAAGAAAAAAGUGUUACUUUAUAUAUGUAUAAGAAAGAAAAAUAUAUAUAUUCUAAAAUUUUGAAAGAUUCCAAAAGAGCAUCAUGAGAUCAUUUACAAAAAUAUGUAUGUAUUGUUAAAAACAACGUCAGUAUUUUAAGCAAUAAAGUAUCUAUUUCUGUAGAUGAUAUAAUAAAAAUGAGUGUGUAUGAAAUAGCUGCUGUUAUAUUCCUAUCUAUUACUAUGAAUGUCCCACUUUAAAAAAUUAACAAUAAGCACUUCUGUCAACCUACACGUGCUAUUAUUCAGAUAAAUAAAUAAAUGAUAAAUCAGCAAACAAUGGUGCUCAGUCGAUUGUUUUGUGUCUAAGAAUUGUAAUCAUGGGACAUGGCACAUAUGGUCUUUUGCAGUAGAAAUAUACAAACUAAAAAACAAUACAGAUAGAUAGAUGGAUGGAUGAAACAAUAUAUUGAUAUUAUUCUAGUACUUAAAUCAUGAAUUUUUUGUUUAAAAAAUAGUAUUAUCAAAAUACAUUGUUUUUACCACAUUUUAACAUCUUUUAACAGGUAUUAUUUAUUUAAUUUUUCCAUACUGGAAAUCAUGUCUUUGUUCUGGAACAUUUUAAGAGUUACGAAGUAUUCAAUAUAUAAAAUAUAUUCGAAAAACUUAUGUUUAAGUUAUCAAAGGCCAAAAUAAUUUAGACUUCAAUUUAAGAAAAAAAUUAAUCUAAUAUCACGUUUUUUUGGGAAAAAAAAAAUUAAUAUUUUUAGGGAUGUACUAUAAGCAAAAAAUAUCCUCAUUUUUUUUUACAAGCAUAUUAAUAUUUUCAAUGUAUUUUUUUAUAGUUAUCACACAAUUAUUGUUAUAGUUAUAUACAUACAUAUAUGUAUAGUGAGCUUCUAGUAGAACAAACCAAUAAAUCUAAACCAAGUAUUUUUAUUAUUUUUUACUAAUAUUAGAGAAAGAAUAUUUUGAUUUUACAGUCAAUGGAGUGACUACAUUGUGAUCUAUACCAAAUUCAAGAAAAAAAAUCAUCUACAAUCAUAGGUAAAUUUAGGUUCAAUAAAGUCAUGUAAUCUUAACAAAUUGGUAGUCUUCUUUAAGUUCAUUAUAUAUUAUCUUUUAUUCAAAGUGUUGUUAUCAUUCAAAAACCCUACACUUAGAUGUAGGAUAAAACUCACAUACAUAAACACAUAUUUUAUUACUUCCAAUACACUCAAAUCCCAAAUGGGUUUCCAAUCUGAUAUUCUAAAAAGAAAAAUGUUCUCAUCUUUAAAACUAGAUAUUCACCAAAGCCAAAGUUUUAUAAUAUAUUUUUUACAUACUUUACAAUUCUUUUGGCAAUGAUCCACUUAAGAAUGCUACCAAAUAUCAUUCAUAUUCUUGUUUUUCAUACCAUUCAAUGUUUCAUUAAUAGUUUUAAUUUUGAGAUCUUCAAUCAAGAAUAUGUAUUGUUUUGUAUAUUAUAAAUUUGGCCAUGGAUAAAUUUAUUUCUUACCUCAACUAAAUUAUGCUUAUCAUUACAAGCCAAAUAUAAAUAUGGUAUAAUAAGUAAGGUAGGCGCACAGUAGCAAGCUCCAAUCAUUAGAGAUUGGCAACAAAGUUGGAACCCACUACAAUGCAAUUGGGCAUGACGUACUAUGCUUGAUAGGACUCUAUGAAUCACACAAGGCAUAGUGCUACCAGAUCCAAAUUUAUCAAAAUUCUUCAAAUAUAAUUACAACUUAAAGAUUGAUAUAAUAUAAUUGCCAACAUUACAUUUAACAUCUCUUAGAACAUAUAGUAAACUAGAUUCUAUGAAUUUUUAGUUAAAAUAGAAUAGUUUUGAAUAAUUAGUGGAAUUAGAGUGCAAAAUAGUAGUGACAAUAUAAUUGACCAUGAAUUUGAUGUAAGACUAAACAAUCAUAGUAUAGACAAUUUAGCAAACAAAGAAGAUAUCAAUUCAACAAGAUAGUUUUUAUGUAAUUAUACACCAUAGUACCAACCAAGCAAGAGAAUGAUGGAGAACUAGAAAAUAAAAUAUAUAAGAGCGCCACACAAAUCUAAAGUUUGGCAAAUACCACCAAACAUGGAGCAAAAAUUCUACAUGCAAGUAUGGAGCAAGAUACAUCACGAGAUCAAAUAAUAUCUAAACUAAGUCGUAUGCUUGAAGAAAAUACAAAAGUCAAUCCAAUGUCUUUGAUACUUGAUAACAACAUUAAACUAAGAAUCAAUCCAACUCAAGACAAGUGGACUCACACAACCUUUGAACCCCAAGGUUAGAACACUAUCAUAUACAUCACAAAAUCAGAUUCUUUUUUUGAUAGCAAGGAAUUGGAUUGAGAUAUCUUUUAUUAACUUCAUAAAAAAGUAUAAAGAAGAUACAAGAAAGCGGAAGGUCUUAUCUAGACAUAUUUUUCACUAAGUUUCACAUGGAAGGCAAUUGAAAGAGAAGACAUUAUCAUGCUCAUAUAAUAAAUAUUACCACACUUCCUUAGAUUCUUUCCAAAUUGCUAUGUUGAAUCUAUAAUAACCUAAAAAUUCCAAGAAUAUACCUUGAUAUAAACCCAUCUAAUAGAUCUAAUCUACCAUAUACUACUAUUUUAGCUAAUAUCAUUUGAAUAACUUAACAUUAUUAUUUUGAAUAAACUCAAAAUCAAAUAUCAACAAAAGAUGGAACAACUUAGGAAAUACAUGGUACUAGACUUUGUCAGAGAUGAAAAUCCUAGAAUAAAGAAACUAUCUAUAUGGGCCAAUACUUGGUUAUAUCAUACCUUCAAGUACCUCAUUAUUUAGGAUAAUAACAAUAUAGAAUUCUAGUUUACAAACUCGAAGGAAGUCAAAUAAACUUUGGUACAUUACAAUUACAAGAUAGAUAACAAAGAAAUAUGUUAUCAUUUGUAGACACCAUACUAUGAAUAAGAUCCACUUGCUACACACAAUCAAUAGAAGAUGGCACUUGGGAUCUAAGUUUUGGGCCUCUUCCAUAUACUACAAACCAAGGAUCUCUUUCAAGCCAUACUUUCACAAAAUUUUGAAAUAUUAAUAGUAGAUAAUAGUGAACUAUGCAAAUCCAAGCUUUCUAGAUUAAAAGUUUGAAUCUUCACCUAAAAUAUAUUAGAACUCCCAAAAACCAUUAGAAUUCUAAGAUUAGAUAUAAAAGACAAUAGUAAAUAUGACUACAUCCUAUCAUAUAGCGACUUUAUAAUAUAAUGCUAUAGAUGUUGCUUCUACAAGUAUGACACCACAAACUACACCAUACCUUGACGACUAAUUGCUGUUAGGGACAUAGUCCUUAGACCUUUCUAGAGACAAGUUUCUAGAACCUUCUAGAAAGAAGUCUCUAGAAACAUCCAGAAGAUUCCUUGAAUAUUCUCUUAGAAUAUUCCUUAAAGAUUCUCUAAAGAUUCUUUGAAGAUUCCCUAAAGAUUCUCUUAGAAGGCUCUAGAAGAUUCUUAGAAUAUUCUAGUAGAUUCUAGGAAGUUACUUGAGAAGCUUCCUAGCUCUUGGGUAGUUGCUCGAGAAGCUUCAUAGUUCUUGGGAAGCUUCUUGAUGCGCUUCCUUAGAACCAUAGGCCAGUAGUAUAUAUAGGAGUCGAGGCUGAAGAGUUAUUCAGUCUCGACAACACAUCUCUUGGAGUUCUAGCUCACCUUUCUGGUGUUGUUCUUGUACUCAUCUGUUUAAUCUAGUUCUGCCACUUCUUCUAGAACUUCUUGUUAGAUUUCAAGUCUGUAUUUUGUGUCCGUGACAGUUUGUCGAGACUACCUUGAUCUUAAUAUUAGAGCUGAAUCCUUCUUGUUUGAGAGCGGAUUACCCCUCUUCUUGAAGGUAUUCUAGCGCUUUAGGGGUUGCGGAUUACCUUCCUCUAAACUGAUAUUUUCUCAAUCACAAUAUCAGAGCUUAGUUCUUUGAGGCAGAGAGUGGACUACCCCUUUCCUUGGAGAUACUUGAGCGUUCUAAGGGUUGCGGAUUACCCUCUCUUGGACUGAUAUUAAUUCCUUCUUUUUGUUUAGCAUAGCUAGUAAAAAAGACUGUUAACAUCGAUUUCAGAGCUUUGCCUUCUUGAUAGAGUGCGGAUUACCCCUCUUCUCGAAAGCAUUGAGGCAUUUUUAGAGGUUGCGGAUUAUCCUCCUCUAAAACUGAAAUCGUUUAGUGUUUUUUUUCUUUUCUCCGAGUAGGUUUUAGUGAUAGGUAGUGCUACAAUUUUCUCCAAGAGACUUAGCAAUUUCUUCUUCUCUCAAAAUUUUAAUCCAUCUAUUCUCUAAAUAUGGAAGUAGACUAGGUCAUAGACAGUGCAUCUCCACAAGUAGACAAUAGAGUGGCAACUCUUGCAGAUCUUCAAGCUCUUAUGAAUAGUGUACGAAAGGAGAUUACAUUUCUUCGCAAUCCAAGUAAAGAACCUCAAAUUGAUCUAGUGACCGAAGAAGCUAGACGCAAAAUUCAUAGCCUACAACAAGAGAUUAUUCGACUGAGAGAAGCAAGACAUGUGUCACAUACGACUCCUAUGGAUACUUCAAGGAUUAAUACGAAAGAACCAAAAGCGAGUAUGCCAGACAAGUUUGACGGAACAAGAGCCAACUUUCGAGGUUUUGUGCAACAAGCACGGCUUUACCUACGCCUAUAUCCUUCUCGUUAUCCGAAUGGAUUUACCCAGGUUGCUUUCAUAGAUACUCUUCUAUCAGGAAAUGCUCGCUCUUGGUUUGCUCCACUAUUGGAGAAGGAUUCUCCAAUAUUGUACGGCCUAGAGGCUUUCAUAGAGAGACUUACUGUUGCGUUUGGAGAUAGCGAUCGAGAAAGAGUGGCUGAAAGAAAGAUACAAAAUCUGCGACAAGGAUCACGUUCUGCUGCAAUCUAUGUUGCAGAAUUUCAACAGCUUACAUGUGAUCUUGAUUGGAAUGAUGAGGCGUUCAUGACACGAUUUUAAUAUGGACUGAGAGAUGAUGUCAAGAACUUAUUGAUCACCAUGCCUAAGGCAGAUACUUUAGAAGAACUUAUAUCUCAGGCAAUUAUUUGUGACAACCGCCUCUUUGAAUUACGACAAGAAAGACGAUCAGGCUGGAGAAAUGAUGGAGCAUUUGCUACAUUUUCAAAAGGUCCAGAGAAUCACUCCAUAGAUCCUGAACCCAUGCAAAUUGAUGCGGUACGUUUCAAACCCCUCACAGUUGAGAAAAGGAAGCGACGGUUUGAACAAAACUUGUGUUUAUAUUGCGGAGAAGCAGGCCAUAAAGCUGUAGAUUGUCAGAAGAAACAGAAGCCUCAAACAACAAGACUCAGGAGUACAAGCAUGCAGGAAAACAAGGACGCCCAGCCACAAUAGGGACCGUGCAGCUGGACAUCUCAACAUCCAAAAUUAAUCAAGGUCCCUUUCUCUCAACUCAACCUUCAGAUUGUUUUAUGGUACCUUUACAUCUGGGUAUUCAAGAACUACAAGUCGAUGCUUUAUUAGACUCGGGUGCAUCCGCUUGCUUUAUAGAUGAAGAGUUUACCAAGCUUCACAAUAUUUCUCUUGUAAAGAAACUUAAGCAUGUCCAUGUAGAAGUCAUAGACGGACGACCAUUGUCUUCAGGCAAUGUUAUCCAUGAAACUAAACCAUUGAAGGUACGUCUUGAAAACCAUGAGAGCAAUAUUGUGUUUAAUGUUAUCAAGACCCCUUCAUGUCCUAUCAUUUUGGGACUAUCUUGGCUUGAUAGAUAUAAUCCAUUGAUAGAUUGGAAGUUGCGGAAAGUGACAUUUCCAACAAACUCCUUGAAGGUGGAAUCUGCCAAGACAAUGUCUAGAAACAAAUCCUUGUUUAUAAGUGCAAGGGCUUUCAUGAAGGAAGCCAAGCAAAAUACACCUCUUGUCAUCUUCGCAACUCCGACUCGAGAAGAUGCAACUCCGACUUUGGUUAUUCCAAAGCAGUAUGAAAAAUUCAAAGAUGUCUUUGAAAAGAAGAAUGCUGAUAUGCUGCCAGAGCAUCGACCCUAUGACUGUGCCAUUGAAUUGCAAGAAGGAGCACAACCACCUUUUGGACCAAUCUACAAUUUGUCGCAAAUGGAGUUGACUGAGUUGCGGAAGUACAUUGACGAGAAUCUAGCCAAGAACUUCAUCCGUCAUUCGAAGUCGCCAGCUGGGGCACCAAUCUUAUUUGUGAAGAAGAAGGAUGGCUCACUACGGAUGUGCGUGGACUAUCGAGGUCUCAACAAGGUGACAAAAAAGAAUCGCUACCCACUGCCUUUGAUCUCUGGUCUUCUAGAACAACUUGGGCGUGCAAGGAUCUUUACAAAGAUUGACCUAAGGGGAGCUUACAACCUUGUGCGAAUUAAGGAAGGAGAUGCAUGGAAGACAGCGUUCCGAACAAGGUAUGGCCAUUUUGAAUACAAUGUCAUGCCAUUUGGUCUUACUAAUGCUCCAGCGGUCUUUCAACACAUGAUGAAUGACAUCUUUCGAGAGCAUCUAGACGAUUUUGUUGUCAUCUAUCUAGAUGAUAUUUUGAUAUUUUCUAAGAACGAGGAAGAACAUGAGAAGCACGUUUGUCUGGUACUCAAAAAACUAUGGGAGCGAGGACUCUAUGCCAAAUUGGAGAAGUGCUUAUUUCACCAAACUGAGAUGGAGUUUUUGGGAUUCAUCGCGACUACGGAAGGCUUGAAGAUGGAUCCAAAGAAGGUGGAAGCAAUCAUGUAUUGGGAAGUUCCGAAGACGGUUAGGGACGUACAAUGUUUUCUUGGAUUUGCUAACUACUAUCGGAUCUUCAUCAAGAAUUAUUCUCAAGUUGCUGCCCCCCUCACUCGGUUAACGUGUAAGGACAAGCUCGAAUGGGGACCUAUCGUAGAAAAAGCAUUUCAAGAUUUGAAGAUGGUAUUUACUACAGCUCCAAUCUUGGUACAUCCGAACUUUACAAAGGCCUUUUAUUUGGAGACAGAUGCUUCGGAUUUUGCUUUGGGAGCUGUACUUUCACAGAUGGACGUAGAUGAGAAGCUCCAUCCAGUUGCGUUCUAUUCUCGAAAAUUCUCUGCUGCUGAGAUCAACUAUGAGAUCCACGAUAAGAAACUCCUUGCUAUAGUAGAUUCUUUCCAAGAGUGGUGCCACUUUCUCGAAGGAACUGCACAUCCAGUGACCAUAUAUACGGAUCACAAGAAUUUGGAGUAUUUUAUGUCGGCUCGGGUUUUAAAUUGACGUCAAGCUCGGUGGAGUAUGUCGCUAUCCAGGUUCGACUUUGUUAUUACUUAUCGGCCUGGGAAGCAACAAGGGUUGCCCGAUGCAUUAUCAAGGAGAUCAUAUCUCGCGCCAAAGGCUGGAGAUGCAGCAUUUUAUCAACAGUGCACGACAUUGUUGAAGCCAGAGAAAUUUCGGCUCAACGCAGCUAUUGUACCAAUUGAUGCUGACUUCCUCGACCAGGAACGGGCCGCAACCAUUGAAGAUUCUCUAGCCCUUGAUAUCAAGCAACAUGCUAGUGAUGAUAAAUUCAAGAUGGAAGGAGAACUAGUAUAUUUUGAAGAGCGGUUGUAUAUCCCAAAAGGGCCAACACGACUCCGAGUUCUUCAAUCUCGUCAUGACUUUCCAGCUGCGGGACAUUUUGGAUUCAAUAAGACCUUGGAACUUAUUUCCCGCGAUUUCUGGUGGCCUCAAAUAUGGAAGGAUGUGAAAGAUUUUGUUGUAUCUUGUGACAUUUGUUCAAGAUCCAAAAACCCUCGACAUCGGCCUUAUGGACUUCUACAGCCAUUGCCUAUUCCGCGCCGACCAUGGUCUUCGGUUUCUAUGGACUUUAUUAUAGAUCUACCACCAUCGAAUUCAUUUGACAGCAUUUUUGUUGUCGUAGACCGGCUUACAAAGAUGGCGCAUUUUGUCCCUUGCAAGAAGACAUCGUCAAGCGAAGACACAGCAAGACUCUUUCUUGAUAAUGUGUAUCGAUAUCAUGGUCUACCAGAUGAUAUCGUAUCGGAUCGAGGAACCCAGUUUGUGUCAAAGUUUUGGAAAUCUCUUUUUGAAAUAUUGAAGGUGGAUAUCAAGCUUUCUUCGGCAUUUCAUCCUCAAACGGACGGCCAAACAGAACGGGUGAAUCAAGUUUUAGAGCAAUAUUUACGUUGCACCAUCAACUAUCAACAAGAUGAUUGGGCCGCAUAUCUACCGCUAGCCGAGUUCGCAUAUAACAACACCCUUCAUGCGUCAACUCAACAAACGCCAUUCUUUUCCAAUUAUAGAUACCAUCCGAAGCUGGACUUAUGGAGUUCGUCAACGAUUAACAAUCCGGCAGCUGAAGGAUUGGUGAAGGAGCUCUCGCAGCUUCAAACUACAUUGAAGCUUGAAUUGCAAACUGCCCAAGAUUCUUACGAGGCGUCCGCGGACAAAUUUCAGAAUCAGACACCUAAAUUCACGAUUGGAGACAAAGUUUGGCUGCUUCGACGAAAUAUCUCUCCAAGAUAGCGUAGAACUUUGUUAGUAGCCCAAGUUUGUUCUUAUUGUUUUAGCCUUUGAAUAUGGAUAGUCAAGAUACUACACUUGUCAUGUCAUCUCAAGCAACUAGCUCACGAAGACGACCGCGAGAUGAAGAACCGCCUGCACCACGACGACGUCGAAGGAUUCCGAGCAACAGAUCGCUGGUGAUUGUAUUUGAGGUCGAGCCUGCCUACAAUGGUCAGCCAAAAAGAGUGUUUGCAGGACAAUUUACAAUGAAGACAUGGAGGUUCAUGCUUGGUCAGAAGUUGAAGGCGUCGGCCACUACCGUUGGCUUCAAGGACCAUUGAAUCACUUGCCUCGUGAAUAACAAUUGGAGUUCAUAGCAGAGGUUAUGCGACAGAUCUUCAUUUUCUUGCGUUGGUAUUGACUGACGAUAACAUUGCUUCUCGGAGACCUCGAAGCUAAAGGAGGAUGUGAUGUUAGGGACAUAGUCCUUAGACCUUUCUAGAGACAAGUUUCUAGAACCUUCUAGAAAGAAGUCUCUAGAAACUUCUAGAAGAUUCUUUAAAUAUUUUCUUAGAAUAUUCCUUAGAGAUUCUCUAAAGAUUCUUUGAAGAUUCUCUAAAGAUUCUCUUAGAAGGCUCUAGAAGAUUCUUAGAAUAUUCUAGUAGAUUCUAGGAAGUUACUUGAGUAGCUUCCUAGCUCUUGGGUAGCUGCUCGAGAAGCUUCAUAGUUCUUGGGAAGCUUCUUGAUGCGCUUCCUUAGAACCAUAGGCCAGUAGUAUAUAUAGGAGUCGAGGCUGAAGAGUUCUUCAGUCUCGACAACACAUCUCUUGGAGUUCUAGCUCACCUUUCUGGUGUUGUUCUUGUACUCAUCUGUUUAAUCUAGUUCUGCCACUUCUUCUUGAACUUCUUGUUAGAUUUCAAGUCUGUAUUUUGUGUCCGUGACAAUUGCUCACAUAUUCAAUGAAAAACCAAACUACUUUAGUAUAUAACUUUGAUAUAAUUUCUAUGAGCAAUAACCUUGAACCUAAUCCCAAAUAUAUACUAACAACUUCAAGAUCAAAAUGUCAGGCUAGACACCAUAUAUCAAUGGAGUUUGUAUGGCAACUUGUUAAAUACAAUCCUUCAAAGAAAAUUACAUCUUUCUUACAAGAAGAAGCUAUCAAGUAUUACAUGACACAUAUCUACUAUUCUUUCUAGAUAACUCUACAAUGGAAAUUUUAGUCGUAGGAUAUUACAUUUUUAGCAUCAAUAGCACCUAUGAUAAUAAUCAAAAAUAAUUAUAGAGAGUACAUAAUCUUCUUAUCUAUACAUGCUACCUCACCACAAUCUCUUUUUAUUUAAUAUAUUACCAAAUUAAGAUCUAGUGGACAUGAAAAGAAGCACGCAACCACUUAGUCAAUCAAACCAUGCUUCAAUUUUGUCUUAAAGUUAUUUUCAAAAACAAACAUAAGUACCUUUUGUAUAAUUAAGAAGAAGCACAAUAGAUAUAUGAAUAGGUAUAUUCUAUGGAUUUAUCCAAAUUUUUUAUAAUUAUUGUUUUUAUUGAAUACAACAAUACAAUGUUUUCAUUCAAAGCCAACCAUAGCUAAAUCUAGCAUGUGAUUUUUCAUUACAUAAAUAAAAAAAUCUUCAUACAACCUUCACUAGAUAGUACAACCUCAAAGAUAGAAAAAUAAGGCCAUCAGGUUUUCUUUAACACUACACCCUUAUGUGAUAUAUGUCAAGACUUUAUCAUUCCAAUGGUUAUAUCUGAAGCACAAAUCCAAUCAAUUCUACCCAUAUAUGAAAGAUUUGUCUACAUCCCAUAAGCGAACUUUUAAGGAGGUACAAUUGUUUAUUCUUGCAACCUUGAAUGUUUAAAUCUUGGGCUGUAAACAAGAUGGCAUCUUAAAAUGAUGUAAGUUUAGGAAAUUUUUUACAAGGACUAUACCUAGGUCCAAUUUCAUCUUCAUUCAAGAACACAAAUUUUCACCAUAUGAAUAUAGAGAGCAAAUACAACAAGUCAACUUUUGCAGCGAUAUCAUCCUUUGGAACAAAGCCCAUUACUAAGCAUCAAAAGACUUUAUCAUUAAAAGAGUCUACAUCCUCAUUUUUAAGAAUAUGAUUUUAUGUGUUAGCAACAAUAGAAUAAUAUACCUCAACCAAGUAUAAUUUUUAACUUUUUAAUUAUCAUACACAGUCAUAUUAGAAAUCAUAAAUAUUUAUAAGUAUGAUGAUACUGAUAGCCAAGCUAGCUUCUAGAAAAAAAUCUAAUAUUUUUUCUUUAAUUACCUAUUUAAAAAAAAAAAAAAAAAAUCCACUAAAAAUAUCAAUCAUGAUAAUUUUUUUAGUUACACAUCUAAAUUGAGCUACAAGAUAGGACUUAAUAAAGAGCCUAAUACAAUAAAGGACAUACAAUAUCUCUUUGAUUGCAGUAACAACUCCAUACAACACCAAAGAUUUUUUAGUAAUAUUUUUCAUCUCUAGAUUCUUCAAAAAAAUAUUAGCCAUGCAUUAACUCUUAUUAAUAAGAGGUCUCUUAAUUAGAGAAUAGACACUAUAGACUAGAAGGGAGAAAAAAAUAUAUAAGCUACAACUUGAUAAUAAAAACUGCAAAACAUGCACUAAUGAUGUGUUUGAUAGUUGAACCAACAUGGAGUUUUUUUUAUCCUUUAUAUUGUCAAGAAGGUAAGCCUCCUCAUGAUGAUAUGGGAUUCUUAAUUGCAAGUUGAUGGUAAGAAGUACAAUGUUGCCCAAAUAAAUUCAUAUAUAAAAGAAUAGCCAAAAGGCUAAGUAUAAAUUUUAGAUUAAUUUCUUUCUUCUAUCAAGAUGCAUCCAAUUCCAAACUCUAAUCUCAAAUACAAACCUCUUUUUACUAAAAUAUUUACAAUUUAUUUAUUAUUAAUUCAAUUUAGAAAAAAUUUAGGUCAUUUAAUAUAACUUAAAUUUUAAAUUUUAAAUUAUUAAAGUCUAUAAAAAGAAAUUUGAGAAAAUGAGAGCCAAAUCAAAGAAAAAAAGUUUGCUGCUUGCUAUAGUUGCCACCUUCAAAAUCCAUAUCCACAAAUUCACUUAGAUCUCUUCAGUCAUAGUUCUUCUUCUUCUUACAUACUAAAAUUUGUUAGAAGCUAACAACAAGAUCCAACUUUCUUCAAAAUUUUAAAUCAAAAAGAUGAAAAUAUAGAUAAUGGCAUAGAAAUUCCAAACUAGUCUUGAAUCUCAUCCCUCAAAAAUUAUAGUGAUCCCCUCCUAAAAAUUUGCAUGAAUCUCCCUUUUUGUAGCUCUUUUUUUUUUAUACUAAGUCCUAUUAGAAAGUAAGAUCUAGUAUUUUUUUUAAAUUUUUAAAUUUUUAAAAAAAAUCCAAUAAAUGGCAUAAAAACUCCAAACUAACCUUAAAUUCCACCUCCUAAAAACUCUAGCAAUUCCCAUUUCACAAACUUGCUUGGAUCUUCCUUGUCAUAGCUCCAUUUUUUGCAUACUAGAGCUUGUUGGAAAGUUAAAAAUAAGAUCUAGCUUCUUUUUAAAUUUUAAUACAAAAAAACAAAAACAUAAUAAUAAGCACAAAAAGACCCCAAACCGGAUUUGAAAUUUGUUGUUUACAAACUCCAAUGACCUCCUUAUUACAAGUUCAUAUAAAUCUUUCUUGUCAUAGCUCUUCUUUUUGUAUGCUCAGUUUUAUUAAAAAGCUAACAAUGAGAUUUAGCUUCUUUCAAAAUCUUAGGGAAAAUAUAUAUAGUUUUAGGAUGAGAAGUUUCAAGAUUAGUUUGAAAUAUAUAUAUAAUAAAUGGCAUAGAAAAUUCCAAACUAAUCUUGAAACUUCUCAUCCUAAAACUCUAGCAACCCCCCAGUAAUAAAUUCCUAUCCUAAAAAUCUAUUUAAUGCCAAAAUCUCUAUUCCAAUCUUUUCCUAAUAUUUGCCUUGAACUAUUAUAGAUUUGAAUAUCUAUCCCAAAAGACAAUAUCUUUAGAUCUUGAAUUGUUCAUUUAAGCUAAUAAUCUCUUAUUCUAAAUUUCAUUCAAAUUUAUAAAUAUAUUAGUAUUAUAUUCCUCCUUCAUACAAGUAAAAUUAAUUAUUCUUCAAAUAAAUUUGAUUAAUUUAAAUUAAAUAUAUUAUAACAAUACAUAAAAGAAAAUUUACUUGAUUUCUAUAUAACAUGGAUCUGCAUCUUCUUUGGCCCCUUCCAAGAACUAGGAAAAAAUAUCAUAGAUCUAUAGUGGAAUACCAAGACCUCAUGCACAAUGAACUCUACUACUUCCUUGGAGAUCCUAAAACAUGCACUUCUAUAGAAUACAUAAAUUCAAAAGUGUUCUCAUGAAUUCAACAAUACAUUCUUUUAUUUAGAAACAGGCCUCUUACAUGCUUAAAAUAUGAUAAUCUAUGUCAAAAUAGAAGUUUGGAAUUCUAUAAUCAACAUUGAAUGUUCAACCUCACAAAUUCAAAAUAUAACAAAUAUUUUCAAAAAGGUAUGGAACAUGAUAGCCAUCUUUUGUAUCAUACAUUUUAAUCUCCCCAGAUUGAAGUUUCUUCCACUACUAAGCUUUUUACUACAACAAUAAGCCACUAUCCUAUGCAGCCAACCAUAUAAUAUAUCUACACACCACAUACAUAUGGACAAUAUAUUGGCUGCACUUCUUGAUAGUGACAUGGAUUUAGCCAUUGAACAGUUCUUCAAAGAAGUCCAACAUAUCUUCAAUAUUCAAACAAAUAAAUAGAUUAUCAGUCAAUUAUCUAAUGAUCUAAUAACUUUUAAUGUAUUGGAAUGCUUCCUAUAUCCAAUUGCCUCCAAUUCUACUCCAUUCAAAGUUCAUGUUGUCAUAUUAUGUGUAUUCUUAUUUAAAAAUGCAUCGGGUACUUAGCUAUAGAAGAUAAAUAAAAAUAUAAAAACAAUCCUACUAAAUCUAUUAGAAUCUCAAAUAAAUUUUAAGUAAUUUUUAAUAAACUUAAUAAAAUUUUAAUCAAUUUAAGUAAAUUUGAAAGAAUUUAAAAAAAAUACAAAGAAGCCAUAAAUUAACCUCAAAGAAAUAAAAUAAAGAAAAAUUAGAGAAAUAUUUUUAAAAAACUAAAAAAAUUAAAAUAUUAUAAAUAGAAAAUUUUAAAAAUAAAGAAUCUUUCAAAAAAUUAAAAUAGAAAUCUUAAAUAAAUCUUAAAUAAAUUCUAAUAAAAUCCUAAUUUAAUCCUGAUUAAAAUUUUAAUAAAUUUUAAUUAAAUCUAAGGUCAAAAUAUAAUUAAAUUUUAAUUAAAAUCCUAAUUAAAAUACUAGUAAAUCCUAAUCAAAUCCUAAUCAAAUCAUAAAUCCUAACCAAAUUCUAAUCAAAUCUUAAAUCCUAAUCAAAUCCUAAAUGCUAAUUAAAUUUUAAACUAAUUCUAAGAAAAAUCUAACCAAAUUCUAAAUCUUAGAUAAAUCUUUACCAAACUAUAUAGAAAAUUGAAAAACCAAUAACUAAUAAUUGAAUCAUUGAUUUUGAUUCAAAAUUUUUAAAUUCUUCAAUAACUAAAUUAAUAACAAGCACACAAAAUUUGAAGAAGGUCACAUAUACCAAAUAGACAAAAAUCCAUAAAUUCCACUCAAGCAUUAUCUGGCAUCCUUCUCUAACCUUAAUGUUGAUAUUCGAGAGUCACUAUCUCUUAAUUUUACUAUUCAAUUGGUCCCAAACUUAGAACAACUAUCAGAAGUCAAGCUAGCAACUAUUGAACAAAAUUAUAUAUCAAUCCAAUUAGCAAAUUUAUAAAUAUCUUGAAAAUCUUCACUAAUCUUUUAAACCUAAUUUUUGACACCAUAAUCUACAAAAUUUCUCAUACCUUCUAAUCUAACCAUUCAAUUGACCUUAACUUUCUCACACACAUUUACAACAAGUACAAUGACAAACUAUCAAAUUUUUACUUGUAAGCAUGCUACAAAAUUCACAAUAUUUUUAAAUUUAUAAAAUUAUUUUAUUUUUCAAAGUCUAAACCCACUAAGUACAUCAUUCAACUUUGAAAAUCCCUCAAAAUCUCAAUUAUAUCCAAAUGAUAUGAAAUCAACUUCCAAAUAUAUAUAUAUAUAUAUAUAUAUAUAUAUAUAUAUAUAUAUAUAUAUAUUUACUUUUAAGAUCUACUCUCUAAUUUACAAAAGAACUCUAAGGUUGCUAUGGAUGUAUAGUUUUGAACCUUAAGAUUUGAUUUCAACUCAAGUUCACAACAAGUCCUCUCUAAGUAUCAAUUUUUGAUAAUUUGAGAUAUUUUUUGCUUAAAUCUAUUAUUAACUUUUUUUUAAAGAUGCUUAUAUUAUUUACUUUUUUAUUUAUUUUGAUUUUAGGUAUAUAUAUUUAUAUAAGAUAAAUAGAAGUUUCUUCUAUUAAAAAUAAUAUUAAGUCUAAAAAUUUUAUUACUUUUCUAUUAUUUAUCCUUAUUUUUUUAUUACAUCUUUUUAUUAGAUUCUUUUAUAAUAAUAUCCAUAUUUUUAUUUUUCACCAUAUAGUUGUGUUAUUAUAUCAUAAUGUCCUCCCAAAUACACCACCAAAUACUACCGCCUCUCCAUCAACAUUGAAGAUUCUACUAAUACUCUACUCUAACAAUUCCACAACAAAGUGGGUAUUUAACACUUCUACCUACCAGCCAACAUCAUCAUUAAGCAGUCUAAUCCAUGAUUAGCUUAGCUCCUAUAAGAUCUUUAAACAAAGAUCAAUACUAUUGUGGCUACUAUUGCAUCCAAAUUGGUCAUUGUUCCUCUUUCACCAUCACAUUCUCUACAAAUGGCUUGAUUAAUUACUGCAAUGAAUAUCAAAAUACAAGGCAAAUUAGACUUGACACCAUACACUCAAGCCAAUCUAUUUCAAGUAGUAAAUAUACUACAAUGAACACAUGACUUCUAGGGCUCACUUAUUGCCUUAGAAAUCUAUGUUGUCAUUGCCCAACAUCUUAGCAAACAUGAUUAUAAUUAAUAGAUGGUAGAUAGCAAGGGAUACUUCUUCCUCGGCAUAUAUCAUCCAUCAUAACAAUAACUUCUCGUUCAAAAAGGAGUACGGUCAAAUCAAACAGCUCUGAGAAUAUUCAACUAUAAAAAUUAAACUUUAGACAUUCUUAUUUCUUUGUUAUGUGUUAUAUUGCCUCACUAGCUACUUGAUUUUUUAUAAUAUAAGAUUUUAGAAGAUCAUACAAAUAUCUUAAAUACCUUAAUGGAUUAUGAAAGUUGAUUUGAUUAUAGCAACCCCGCCAAAAGGCCAAGGUAAAACACAAUAUAAUUAUCAAAUUUACUUAAAUCCUAAUAGAAAUUUCAUGGAACAUAUUGCAUUUCACUAAUAUAUUAGUGGCUAAGUAAUCUCCUAUCAUGGUAUAAACCUAGGUUUGAUUCUUGGCUCUGCAAAUUUGCUCCACCUUGUCAAAUAGAACUGCCUAGUGUAUAAGAAUGUGUGACUAUUAACCAGAAAGGCAGAAGUUAGACCUCUCCAUUUAGCACUUCUAAGGUAUCUUCACCAUUGUCAAUGUUUUGCAAAUCUAUCAUUCAUUUUAGAAAAGAUCUUCUAAUCAAUUAAAUUUUAGAUCCAUUUUUGUUCAAAGUAUAAAAAUUUAAAUUUUAGAUGCUUCUAGUAAUAAGUUUUGAUUUCUUUUAUAUUAAUAUAGUAUUAAUCUAAGUAGUUUAAUCAACCAAUUUACAAUCCAAUCAAAGUUAAAUCUAAGAUUAAAAAUUAUAUUCAUACAUAUAGAUUUGCAUAAAGAAUUAACUGAAAUUUAGUUUGUAUAUUAAGAAAAAUAAUAAUGGGCUAAAAAUGUAAUUGAUAUCUUAAACUUAUAUUUUUAAUUUGGGCAUAUUAAAGUACUUACAAGGUUCUUUUAAGAUACAAAAUCUUUUAUUAUUAUUAUUAUUAUUAUUAUUAUUAUUUGUACAGAAAAAAAAUCGUAUUACAAGUAGAAUUUAAAAUCCUAUUUUUACAUAUUACUAAUAAUGAAAGAUCAAAUAAUUCCUUAUAUUUGAAUAAAAAAUUAUAAUACUUGAUUGAUCUAAAUAAAGCACAAAGAUUAAUAAAAUGUAAAAACUACUUUAAAGAAAAGAAAGAAAGAUUUUAAAAAUUAAAAAAUUACUCCAAUGAUGUAGAUAAUUGUCGAAGAUAUUAGAAAAUUUUAAUUUCUAACUAAAUUUGAUGUUCCUUAGACAUAACCUUACAUCAUCAAAGAAGUCCUUAAUAAUAAUUUAGUCCUACUUAAGGAUCAAAUAGAAAAAAAAUGUGCUUUUUUGCUUAAUUGAAAAUUGGAUUUUAUUCCUACCUAAUCCAAUUUCUUGUCAAAGGGACAACUUCUUAAUGUCAAAAUUGUCAUAAAAUGUAGCAAUGCAAAUACUUUCAUCUAAUACAUUUGUUGAUUAUUCAUCUCUAAUUUGAAGGCCAAGCACUUAAUUUUUUUCUUUCCACCAAUUAUCUUAUUAGAAUCCUUUGUUUUCUUGACAAUUAACCAUAAUGUAAAGUGGCCCUUAAAUGUUAUUGUAUGUAGAUUGUUUUUAAAAUAUACAUUCAAUGCAAAAAUAUUAGUAUUAAUGGAAAGAUAAAAGAAAGUAAUAUACUUAAAUAUUAUUAAAUGUUUUAUGUUAAGGAAUAGAAGCCUCCAUAAUUUAUGGUUAAAUUGGUUGUCAUCAACUUUUCAGCACUUACAUUAAUUAUCACAAAAAGUUCAACUUCUGCAUACCCAAGGGUAUUUAAAUAGUUACAAAUUGUCUAACAGAAAAGUGGCAAUUAAAUUUGUAGUUUCAAAAAUUCAAGGUUAUUUUGACUGAAUCAAUUUAAGCAUUCAAAGAUAUUUUUCAUUAAUAUACAGACUUACAGAAAUAAUAUAAACUAAAACAGAUUUAAAAAAUGAGAAACAUAUUGAAAUGGCAACAAAUGUAUAUACUUAAAAACAAUUUCAUGUUAAUUGUAUUAGAUUUAUUCUUGAAAAAAUAGGAUAUUUUAUUUAAAAUUCGAAAUAUAAUAUUAUUAUUUUUAAAUGUUCAUAUUAUAAAUGGGUUUUUGUACUUAAGGGACAAAGUGAGAGGCUACAUUUUUAAAAUCUCUUCAUUGGCUAAAACCAAGAGGUUUUUCCAUUUCAUCAUCAGAUUAAAGGAUUUAAAAAUUGUAAUCUCUUCACCUUGUCCUCAAACUGCAAAGACCCCUUAAAAUGCAUACAAUUCAUUGAUUUCAAACAUGUGAUACUUCUUGUGCAGUUGAUUGUUUCUACAUCAACAAAACAAUAAAAUGAUACAAGAAACUAAUUCUGGAUAUUCAAUGCAAAACAAAUACUUUAUUAAAGGAGCAAAUUAUUUCUGGAAUACUUAUGGAAACCCAGAUUCUUUUGGCAUAAAUUACAUUCUUUUAUAUAAUUCUGAUAUCUAAAAAAUAAUCCUGAAUUAUUUGAGAUUAUUCGGAAUCCAGAAUUAUUUUGGCAUUCAAUAAGAUUAUUGAACUCCUCUUACGCUAGAUACAGCACUCUUUGGAGCAUUCAAAUGAGAAUGAAAUAAUAACUUUGUGAUUCAGAAAUGAUUCGAACUAUAAAUAUGGUUGGCCAAAUAAACAAAGAUCAUAUAUACAUAUACAUACAUUAUUAUUAUUAUUAUUAUUAUUUAGAUAUUGUGUUUUUUAAAUAAAAAACAAAUUAACAAGGAUGUUAUACACUUGAAUAAACAAACAAAGAAAACAUUUUUGAUAGUAUUGUUCUACCAUAACUUUUGCCUUAAACUGACUGUGAAAAAAGCUUCUACUAAAAGCCAUGCAUUUAUUACAAAGAGGUUUUAAAGUCUUGGGAAGCUGACAUGUGAUCAUGAAAAACCAAUCUAAAAUCAUUUUAAAUCUGGAAAGCCUUGUAGGUAAUGCUCCAUUGUAGUAAAAAUUUGUUUUGGAUGUUUCUUUAAACUUUAAUUUGUUGUUGUAUGACUUCUACACUAGCCAUCAUAUUUGGAAGUAAAACCAAGUUCAUCCACAAUGUUACCCACACUUAUUUUUAGUGAUAUUUAUUUUGCCUCAAUACAACCAUAACAAUGAUUUGAAUAUCAUAUCAUUUAUUUGACAACAACCAACAUUGAAUUUCCUUAUAUUUUUACACGUAUCUCUACGUAGAAUAUCAAGAUUUUAAAAACAUUUUAAGUAUUGUGGUUAAAUAUGCAAGAAUACAUACACAGAUACAUACAAUAAUCAACUGCAAGUUGUACCUUUCAAUAUCAUAAACCCAGAUUCUGAACUACACAUACAAUAUAAAUUUAGCAGCGAACGCGCUCAUUUAUUCCACCAAAACCCCCAAAACAAAUGGCUCAUGAGAAGGGGCGACCAGUCAAAGCUCCUGAACAACAUCACUAAAAGAAACACGAAGCGCCAGCGUGGCGUCCAAGUCGACUCACAGGAUUAAUUACAAACAGCGGCUUCAGACUCCACCUCAGCCCUAAAAUUCUAAACCCCGAUUCUCGAGCUCCGUCGCAAUUUGAAUUUUUUUCAUCUCUGGCGUGCGUCGGAGCGACUGUUGCUAUGUCUGUGUCUUUUAUACCAUGCAACUUGCUGUGCUAUUUUGCUAUCCUGGCGCUUAUUUCAUCUCAGACAGCUCCUUUGCUGUCGCUUCUUUUGGCUUGCUGUUCUUACUGUUUUCUGAAGUCGUGACCUGACCUGAAGUGUAGUAUCGUGUGCUUAAUCUCGUUGUUUGCUGUCUCUUGUCUUCGUUGGAUUUCUUCGCUGUAGUCUGUGUUGUUGCCCGUUCCACACCUGUCAUUAUGUCUCUCCGACCCAGCGCCCGGACUGAAGUUCGCAUGAAAGGAUACAAGCUUGCUGUUGAUGCCAUGGAGGCGAGGAGAAAGAGAGAGGAUGGGAUGGUGGAGAUUAGGAAGUCCAAGAGGGAUGAGAACCUUCAGAAGAAGCGUAGGGAGGGCUCACAACUGCACCAGCAGUUCACUCCCGCCCAAAGUGCCUCGUCAGAGAAGAAGGUGAUCUGAAUGAACGUUGACAGGAUCGAAAACUGGAAUGCUAUUAUUUUUAUUUUUAUUUUUAUUUUUGUCUCUAUGAAUCGAGUCUCCCCCUUAACUUGAGAUCAAUCGGAUCUGCGAGUGUCGAAGGAGACUUGUGAUGCCAUGGUGCAUUGUUUAAUUUGCUAUGUCUUGUAUGUUAGCUCUUCUGUUUCGUGGUUCGACUAUUUUGUGCUGUAUUGAUCUUGAUUUCUCUGUUUUAUUCAAUGUAGCAACUUGAGAGCCUUCCGGGGAUGGUCGCCGCGAUAUGCUCGGAUGAUCCAGCUACACAACUGGAAGCGACAACUCAGUUCCGAAAGCUGCUCUCUAUUGGUACGGUUUAUCUCAUCCGUGAUAUUUUACCAGGAUUGAGGACCUUGUUGUCCGAUUCUUAGCGUUUAGACUCACAUUUUAUGCCCUUACUCAUGGCGCUUCCUCUCGUUUUUUCAUGCGCAGAACGCAGUCCUCCAAUCGAGGAAGUCAUAUCGGCGGGUGUUGUACCCCGCAUUGUUGAAUUUUUAGUCCGUGGUGAUUUUCCGCAGUUGCAGGUACGACUGCUGCAAUGAAUACUUAGUUUACAGAUAAAUCAAGGUUCAGGUGUAUUGGUAUCUCAUUGUAAUGCUUCUCUGCAGUUUGAAGCUGCAUGGGCGUUGACGAAUAUUGCAUCAGGCACGUCUGACCACACUCGCGUGGUGAUCGACCAUGGGGCUGUUCCCAUAUUUGUCCAACUUUUGAGUUCCCCAAGCGAUGAUGUUCGUGAGCAGGUACAGUAUAUCACAAUAUUAAUAUAGUUCUGCUUUAAAGUGUUCGCCAUGGAGGAGACGAUAUUGCGUAUCUAUAUUGUACAGAAGGAUUAUUGUGAGGUCGUCCUCAUUAUCGACUUUCAAGACUGAAAUACUCGUCCUUUUCAGUUAAUUAACGACUUUCUGUAGUGGUUGCCGUCUCGUUGUGAACGGAGCAACUAGAGGCAAUGUGUCAGUCUCAUCUGAAACUCUUCUAUCCCUCAUGUCGUUUGAGUACACCCAUAGUAUUCCGUCAUUGCGUAUCUGUAACCAUACGUACUUAUUUCUUAGAUCAUGCUUUGCUUGUGUUAACGAAUUUGCUGUAUCCUGUCUGGUGCAGGCUGUUUGGGCUCUGGGUAAUAUCGCCGGAGACUCUCCUAAAUGUCGUGACCUUGUGCUUGGUCAUGGAGCAUUGAUGCCUCUUCUCGCCCAGCUUACCGACAACACUAAAUUAUCCAUGCUCAGAAAUGCCACUUGGACGCUCUCCAACUUUUGUCGUGGAAAACCUCAGCCUUCCUUUGAACAGGUAGCUCUCCGCUUGCAGUUUGCGGUUCAUAUUCGCUGGGGGUGAUCUGCCACCUGGUAUGGCUAUGUGACCUUUGUCCGACCGACUCAUGUUCUCAGUUUUGUAGUUGUAACGUGUGUAGAAGAACAAAAGUCUUCUUUUCUAACGACUCGGCCUCCUCUUUGCAGUCCAAACCCGCACUCCCCGCGUUGGAGCGCUUGGUCCAUUCCACCGAUGAAGAGGUCCUGACUGAUGCGUGCUGGGCUCUCUCUUACUUGUCCGAUGGGACCAAUGAUAAGAUUCAGGCCGUUAUUGAAGCUGCCGUGUGUCGGCGUCUCGUAGAGCUUUUGCUGUAAGCAUUCUCAUUAAACCAUAGAACCCUGAUCUUUCUAGCCGUCUCCUUAGUGUGGAAGUCUCUUGAGUACACAGAUUAACCCGGUUGUUUCUUAAAUCUAGCAGCCACCCUUCACCCUCAGUGCUCAUCCCUGCCUUGCGAACAGUCGGAAAUAUUGUUACUGGCGACGAUCUUCAAACACAGGUAUCCAUACAAGAUCUGAAAUCAUUGCUUCGCUGUUUCUUUUCAACAUUUCUGCAUCAAAGUUGUUCAUGUGUAUGUUACGGUCGUCACCCAUUAUUUCACUUUCCAUCCCGUCAUCAGUAGUGUUUACGUGCGUGUUUACUGUCGCGCAGUUCAUCAUCGACUGCCAGGCCUUGCCCUGCCUGCUCGCACUAUUGACCAACAACCACAAGAAGAGCAUUAAGAAAGAAGCAUGUUGGACUAUCUCCAACAUCACUGCCGGAAACAAAGAGCAAAUUCAGGUUGGAUUGUAAUUUCGUCUGCGCAUUAGUUUCUGUUCGUUGUUGUCAAUAGGUUUGAAGUUCGUCAAAAUAUGGUUCUGUUCUGAAUAUUGGCUCUGGCACCCCAUGACUAAAGCUCCUGUACAUUCCGCAGGCUGUUAUCGAUGCCAACAUUAUCCCACCUGUGGUGGCUCUUCUUGCAACUGCCGAAUUUGACAUCAAGAAGGAGGCCGCUUGGGCGAUAUCCAAUGCUACUUCCGGUGGAACGCCCGAGCAGAUCAAGUUUCUUGUCAAUCAAGGGUGCAUUAAGCCUCUUUGUGACUUGUUGACCUGUCCAGACCCAAGAAUUGUAACGGUUUCCCUUGAAGGACUAGAAAACAUUCUGAAAGUUGGUGAGCAGGUCAAGGAUAGUGGUAGCAACGGAGAUGUGAACUUGUAUGCUCGCUACAUUGAUGAAGCUGAAGGCUUGGAGAAAAUUGAGAACCUUCAGACUCACGACAACAAUGAGAUUUAUGAGAAGGCCGUCAAAAUCCUGGAAACGUAUUGGCUGGAAGAGGAUGAAGACCAGAACACUGCUCCUGUCACAGAAGGUCAAAACUUUGCUUUCGGCUCGAGUAAUCCCUCAGGUGCCCCCCCUGGUGGCUUCAACUUUGGUUAGGUAGUGGAACUCUAGUACGGGUCACUGUGGGUGCACCCCGAUUAUGAUUACUGAGGAAAAGUCACCAGGUUGUUGACCUAAUAGUGUAGGAGUGUGAUCAACCAUUAGGCUAGCAGAACUAUUCUUUUGUACUUGAAUGCUUCAUCUCGAGUUUAUUCAAGGCCCGUCAGGAUAAUACGCACCAAGAAGAUUUCAAACAAUGCAUGGCAGAAUUGCGUGGACGCGCAGGAUUAUUGCCAAGGUUAUUGUAGUGCCAGACAUGGUCCGAUGUGUGCAGACUAUACGCUGCAUACUUUCGACUUAAACCCAGGAUGCUCUGUUAAUGGGUUGUCUCAAAAUCAACAUUGAUGUGCCACUGCUAUCCUACCUGACGUCGUCUCUGCCCCGCCCUCACCAAAUCUGAUGUUUUCAGUGAGGAACACUCUGUCAUAGCUGCCAAGCGCUCCCAUCCAGUUGUUACCAGCUUGACAGUUUAAUUUGAGGAUUGAUUAGUCUAAGGUGUCUAAAUUCCUUAUCACGUACCUUUCUUGACCAGGAAGAUUGCAAUAGAAUUAUUCAAAUUCAAGCCGAUUUUUACAAGCUCAUGAAAUUCUUCUCAAAUGCAGUUUCGAUAUUCAAGGCUAGACUGUGAGGAAAGUAGCAUCACAUUCGUGACUGCAUUUUUGCACAUUCAUAAUUUGUCGAUUCAGAGUAAGUGCUUUCUUAACAAUAAUCCCUAUACUUGGCCAGUCAAUACAUAUUAUAAUCAUAAUUAAAUCAUAUAUAUCUACCAUUGCAUGAUAAUGUAUUGUAAAUUUGAAUUCAUUUGACAGGAUGGAUCAAGAUCAUAUACUCAAAUAUUUGAUUUGUUCAAUUAGUAGCUGAUUUAUGUUCUAUUCAACAUCACAAGUCAGAAUGUGACGUGAAAAGAACAGAUAAAUUCACUAAUUAAUUAGAAGAAAAAAAAUAUAAUACACUACAUCUUUGUUCUAAAAUUAAUUGAGUAUCAAACAAGUUGUGAUAAAGACCGCUUCAUGUGUAAUGUCUUAAUCAACAAGGAAAAGCAGAAUUUUAAAUAUGAUUUAUGUAGGAGAUUGAUUAAUUAUAGUGAAAUAUACAUAUAUAUCAAUAUAUAUAGAAUGUACUAUCAAGACAAUUUUUAUUGGAAGAUAUUGAUAAAAAUUAGAGAUCAAUAAAAUGAUUAUUAAUAUAACUAUAUAAAUGAAUAGCAAAUCAUUUUAUAAAAGAACUUAAAUCAUUAUCACUAAAAGUCCUUGAAAUCAGCAUCUACUUUGGAUUCUCACAGUGCAAGUCUAUAGUCCAACAACAAAAACGUUUUAUUACAAGUAUUUAAUUACAAUUAGAGUAAUUACUUGCCAAUUGAAUUCUAACAAUAAAUCUAUUUCUAAGUGAGUAUUUGUAAUAUGGUAGUAUCAUCUUCUUCGUUCACAUAAUAAUUUUUUAGGCAACAACAACUAUGUGUUGACUAGUAGCCAAUAUGGCAGCUAUAAGUUAUCUCUCUGAAUAUAGAAGUUGCAUGUUGAUAUUGAAAUCUUUAUAAGAUAUUAUUUUAUUUUAUUUUAUUGUUAGUUUAGAAUAUUCUUUGAGUCAAUUACUUAUCUUUGUUAAUAAUGAAAAAAUUCUUUUGUGGUCAAUUCAUUUAUUUUAAGCUUAGCAUUUUCCAACCAUUCUCAAAUUACAUUAUUCCACUAAUCUACAAGCAUUGUAUUUCAUCUUAACUAUCUAUUAUUAUCCAAUACAUGUUUUUUCUACUAGUUAACAUUUUAAAAGCAAAUUCUUCUUCAUGAGACUAUACUAAUAUAUUCAUAUAUAAAAAUCCAAUUAAAGAUAGAUCUUACCAUUGUUUGAUAUUUUAGCUAGCAAUUUCUUAUAAAACAUAUAAAGUUUCUAAAUCUUUGUUUAUAUUCUAUUUGUUUUUUAAAUUUAUUUUAUUAAUGUUAUUUUAUCCAAAAAUUUAAGAUAAAAAGAUAUAAACAAGUUGUAAAGAAUGUAUUGUAGUCCACGUUCUUGUAUUUUUCUAACUUUAUAUGAUCUAGUAGUCAUUGAUUAGGUUUUUUAACUUUUUCAUAAACAAUCUUUCAUAAAACUUGUUGAAUAAUAUAUAUAUAUAUAUAUAUAUAUAUACAUUUUCUUUCUUUGAAACAUUAUAAUUCUAUGCAUUGAAUUUCUUUAUGAUAUAAUAUUCUAUUAACUUUAUCAUUUUAGAAAAAACAUUAAAUUUUUAAUUUUUGGACUUACUAAAGAUUUAAAUUUUCUAAAAUCAACACAAUAUAUAAUCGAAACCUCAUCAAAUUUAAGAAAAGAUAAAAUCUUAUAUUAUAACCUUACAAUCUCUUUUAAGAAUAAAAUUAAAAAUCUUAAAGACGAAUUAUAAAUUUUCAUGGUACAAUAUAAUAAAAAAUUUAUUAUCUACGGACUCUUUAUAUUUAGUAGACAAGUGAGUAGUUACAACUUUUAAAUUCUUUAAUUGAUUGAAUUUUAAAAAAACCUCCUUGAAUGCGCUUUAUACUUAGAAAAAUAAUUCCAAAUACUCAAAGAAGAAGUAAUGAAGUGUAAUUCAAAUAUUCUAACAUUUUUGUUGGGUCUAUCUCUGGAGGCAGUUUUUAGAAAAAAAAUUAAAAAUUGACUCAAGAGAUGUUUAAAAUAAUUAAUGGGAAAAUAAGAGUAAAAUAAUAAUAAUAAUAAUAAAAUCAUGAUUUUAAAAAUAAAGAUAUGACUUGACAUAUUUAGACUUGAAUUAUAUAUAUAUAUAUAUAUAUAUAUAUAAUUUAUUUCAUAGCCUCUUUUUAUUACAUGUUAUAUCAAAAGAUUAGGUUUACUAGUUGAAAAAUAUUUUUUUGUAAGCAAGAGACCUUAUCAACACUUUUGAACCAUAGCUUAUCAAUAUAAGUUUUUAGGUAUAAAAUCUCCUUAAGAUUUAAGUUUGAAGAUAAAAAAUAUAUACAAACUUGUAAAUCUAGCAAGAAAGAUUUAAAACAAUCAAUUACAUUAUUUCAUUGUACCUAUUGAAUUUUUAUACUACAAGUUUGUAAUCUAAAUAUAAAGACAUUUUAUUACAAAUAUAUACUAAUAAUUAAUUAAAAAUAUCAUUGACUUAUAUAUAGUCUAUUAUUAGAAUAUAUGAUGAUUUGGUAGAUUCUUGAACUUACAAGUUAACUAAUAGUCAACAUGGCAAUUAAUAGUUGUUUUGUUAACAAAGCAAUAAUAACCAUUUAUUUGGAUGAUUAUACAAUAUAUAUAAAAAAAAUUACAUAGUUAUAUAAGCAUUACAUGAUAGAAUUUGAUUUUUUUGGUUGUUUAUAAAUUUAGUGAUUAAAGUGUAUAAAGAUUUUGUAAUUUUUAUUUUAUUUUAUUAUAUAUAUGAAUGUUAAAUAGACCAAGGCUUUUACAAAAUUGACACACCCAUCCUAACCAUCAUAAAAAAAGAAAAUCACAUCUUAAUUCAUUUCUCCACUACUAGAUUUGAAACCAAUGAAAACCAACCACAUUCAUCAUGAUUACCAUAUUCUUCAUCAUUUGAAGGCAUACUUAGUUAUAACACCCACCUAGUUAAUAUUUCUCUAUAUUCAAUGAAGUCCAUGGUGAUGUAUUUUUGACGAAGUCAUACACCCCUACAAUAUUGUUUUUUCUCUUACUUAAAAUUCAAAGUGAAGAACACCAAGUUUCAAAUAAAGUAAAUAUGAAAGAAUACAACAUCCUCUAUAAGAAAGGGACCCUAUUGACAUACAAUUCUUGAUUCUCAUAUAACCCAUGAAGUAAGGAAGAUCAAGAUUCUGGCACACAUCAAACCCAACCACCACAAUCACUAUAAAGCUCUCCAACCAUAGAUGCAAAAUAUCUCUACACAUUGAUGACAUAGCCAAUCUACCUUGAUAAUAAUAAAAGGAAAAAAAAAAAAGAAAAAAAGAAAAAAAGAAAAAAAGAAAAAAAAACUCAAAUCUCACUUGAUGGAAAUGUCUUCCAAUUUUUUUUCUUAAAGCAUGUAAAAUUGUUUUUUUUGAAAAUAUGAAAAAAUCAAAUAAAAUUUCUUGUUGAUUUACAAUAUUAUUUUUACUUCAUAUCAAAUGCAUGCGAAAAAAAACUAGUAAUUUAAAAAAAAAACACACAAACAAAGAGAAAGUAAAAGAAAAAGAAAGCAACAACAACAAUCCUUAGAGUGUUUUGACAAAAAGAUUGAAAGCCAAGUAUGGCCAACAACCCCAAUGUACAUUAAGUCCCAUCUGUCGAAAAAUUUCACAACCCAAUCUGUAAACAAAUAUCAUCUUUUUCCAUAGAGUGAUGCGAUGUUAUGCACCAUACUUGUUCAAACAACCCAACAAUAAAAUAGUGUGCAAUUAAAUAGUGUGAGAGAGAGAGGCAGAGAGAGUAGAAUGAAGCCAAGUAUUGAUAAUAACUAAUAAAUACUUUUUUUUAUGGGUGGGUUCCAGAGCCUAUCAGAGUGCCGCUUGUCCAGCCCUGGGAAUGGAAAGUGGCCUUGUAGAAUGGAACCACUCGUAGGGCCCCUGGAAUAUCCACCAAUACCCGCCGACGGACGGUGGAGAUGGCGCCCUAGAUCCUACGGCGGAGAGAAAUCCGAGGCCCUAGCUGCAAGUCGGGCGGAGGGGCCCCUUUUUAUUGGGAUGGGGGAAAAGGGAAGAGCCCUGCUUGCUCACUCCAGGGUGUCAAUGGCAGGCUCCGAAUAGUGCUGAGCAUCACUUGAUUCCUCUCCGAAUUCUCCCCCCCUGUCCUUAAGGAUUCCUCCUCUUGACCACCGGAUUGUGAAGCUCAAUUCUCUCGCCGAUAAUUUGGCCCUAUUCUCGCUGCUUCUCGUCCUGUAUCGUGUUCGUCUCGGUGGUUGGAGUGGUUGUGAGAGUUUGUGUUUUUGAGAGUGUUUUUGAGGGUUUUUUUUUUUUUUUUUUUUUUUUUUUUGGGGGGGGGGGGGGGGCUGUGAUUUGGGUUUGGCAAGAUGUCUCUUCGACCGAACGCCCGAGUGGAAGGUCGCAAGAAGGGGUACAAACUCGCGGUCGAUGCCGAUGAGGCGCGCAGGAAGAGGGAGGACAAUAUGGUGGAGAUUCGGAAGAGCAAGAGGGAGGAGAGUUUAUUGAAGAAGCGGAGGGAUGGUAUGCCGCAGCUGCCGCAGUUUGUCCCGUCCGCUCAGAGCUCUCUGUCUGACAAGAAGGUAGGUAGAUGUGUGUUUUUGAAACCUAUUUUCUUCAAAUCUGGACUUCGUUGAGAUUCUUUAUAGUUCAAAGUGAGGUUGAUCUCGGAAUGGGCUCCGUAUACAUUGGAUCUGAUGACAGGUCUCGUUUUUUGUGACUUAGCUCCCACACAUGCCCUAGAUUUUGUGCUUGGUUCCGCGGCAUUUCAUUAGUGUUUUUGUGGUAAACCUAAUUUGUUUGUUUUUUUUUUUUUUUUUUUUUUUUUUUUUUUUUUUUUUUUUUUUUUUUUUUUUUUUUUUUUUUUGCCAGUUGCAGCAACUUGAGAGCCUUCCAGCGUUGGUUUCUGGUCUUUACUCUGACGAUCCUGCUACCCAGUUGGAAGCAACCACACAAUUUCGAAAGCUUCUGUCUAUCGGUAUGACCGUGUUAUGUAUCAGUUUGAGUUCCCUCUUGAGACGUGAGAUGUUUUCAGUAAAAUACUGCGCAAAAAGGGUGUGAUUUCGGCUUACGUUCGUGAUGGAAAUUUCCAUAUGCAGAGCGGAGUCCUCCCAUUGAAGAAGUGAUUUCCGCUGGUGUCGUCCCCCGUUUCGUGGAGUUUCUAGUCAGGAGCGAUUUUCCGCAGUUGCAGGUAUUAAUAGUUGCACUGGAUUGUUUGCAAUUGCUAGCCCCACGUAGGGAAUUCAACUUCGGUUUCUUACACAUGGAAUUCUGAAUGCAGUUCGAGGCGGCAUGGGCUUUGACAAAUAUUGCAUCAGGGACUUCUGAUCACACACGUGUUGUCAUCGACCAUGGUGCUGUUCCCAUCUUUGUUCAGCUCCUAAGCUCUCCCAGUGACGAUGUCCGAGAACAGGUACCGAACAUUCAUUCUGGGUUUUGAUAUGCGUAACCAACAUUUGGAGGUGCCUGGAAGAAAUUCAAUAUUUCGUGUUAUCUAUUCCUUAGGAUCUCUUGUUAUUGACAAACUUUCUCUUUGCAAAAACAUUCGUAACUUACUUUGCACAUCCUAGGUAGAUUGAAUUGAAGAGUAGUCCUUAGUCAUCGUCUACUGAUAUGUAGGAUUGAUUGAGUGGUGGCUGAACCUCGUGUUUCGUAGUUUCACAUUGUGAUCUUUAGCUAGGUGUCAUGCUUUUGUCGACUGGAUUUCAUGCUGACCAGUUGUGCCGACUUGACUGUUAAUAUUCUCUUUGAACAGGCUGUAUGGGCUUUGGGAAACGUUGCUGGUGAUUCGCCGAAAUGCCGUGACCUUGUUUUAGGUCAUGGGGCCUUGAUGCCUCUGCUUGCGCAGCUUACGGAGAACACAAAAUUGUCUAUGCUUAGAAACGCUACCUGGACUCUCUCCAACUUCUGUCGUGGCAAGCCUCAACCACCUUUUGAGCAGGUAUGUGAUGUGAUUAUUACGCUUACUCUAUUAUUAUUAUUCUUAUUAGCAAGUGAUUUCGUUUGACAGUAAGAUAUUCGCUUCUCUCUUAUUUUCUUCCUUACUAUCAAGUUUCAGUUCAAUCAAUUUCUACGAAUUCCUUCUGAAACGAUCAUUAUGUACUGGGAUAAUUCUAAUAGAGCUACGGAGUCUUUGUUUGCUAAUUUCUUGUUUCCUCAUCGGUUUUAUUUAUCCACGUAUUUAUCGUUUUUAUGUUUCCGCUCCUCGUUUCCAUUCUCUUCGUUUCAUGAUCCUAGGUAGCAGUAAAACACUAGGAUUCUGACUAAAUCCAUCACAUAUUUUUAUCUUGUAGUCGAAACCAGCGCUUCCGGCCUUGGAGCGGCUCAUUCACUCAAACGAUGAAGAGGUUCUCACGGAUGCUUGCUGGGCACUAUCUUAUUUAUCCGAUGGGACGAAUGACAAGAUUCAGGCCGUGAUUGAGGCUGGCGUCUGUCGUCGACUUGUGGAGUUAUUGCUGUAUAGCUUCUAAACCUUCCUUCAAAUACUGUCUUGAAUUUAUGCUCUUUGGCUUCAAUUUGGCCUUGACGUCUCACAUAUUUUUCUCGAAAGUUCCCUGAAGAGUCUAUUAUCCUUGUUGUGGUUUGUAGCAGCCAUCCAUCGCCCUCUGUACUCAUUCCCGCGCUGCGUACUGUUGGCAACAUUGUGACUGGUGACGAUCUUCAGACACAGGUUGAGCUCCAUUCUGGAAAUAAUCUGGUUUCUAAUAUAUAUCCGUUAAAAUGUGAUUAGCAUUUGCAUAUACCAUUUCGUGAUUGCUUGCAUUUUAAACGGCUCUCAUAGACUUAUUAUUAAAGGCAAACAUUUCCACCUCGUCCCAGGAAGUUAUCACCCAUAUGUAGUUCAUGACUAUUCCUUGAAACUGAAAUACACUUCCAUUAUAAUCAACAUGAAUUCAAUGUCUCAGGAGUGUUCUUGCCAGUUCAGAACUAAAAUAAGGGUUUGGAAAAUCUGUUUUGGUGUGUUUCUAUUUAUUCCUCUUUGACUUCUAUUUUAUACCACUCGUCCCAGAAUGGUUCAACUUGUGUUGACUUUGUUCUUGCUUGUAACUAACAUCCUUCUUGUAUUGUUGUCUUGGAUCAGUUCAUCAUCAAUAAUCAGGCCCUUCCCUGUCUUCUUGCUCUUCUGACCAACAAUCACAAGAAAAGUAUCAAGAAAGAAGCCUGUUGGACUAUUUCCAAUAUAACUGCAGGAAACAAGGAUCAAAUCCAGGUAAAAAUAUUUUUCAUUGUGUGAUACUUGUUCAAAAAUAUUUAUUUCUUGCAUGCACUUUUGAGUGAUGGUUCGACUAACAUUUUACAUUGUUUGCUUCGAUGCUCUGUAGGCUGUUAUUGAUGCCAACAUCAUUCCACCUUUGGUAUCUCUUCUUGCCACCGCAGAAUUUGACAUCAAGAAGGAAGCUGCUUGGGCUAUUUCAAAUGCCACUUCUGGUGGCAGUCACGAUCAGAUAAAGUACCUUGUUACCCAAGGUUGCAUUAAGCCACUAUGUGACCUUCUAACAUGUCCAGAUCCGAGAAUCGUCACUGUGUCCCUCGAAGGGCUGGAAAACAUUUUGAAGGUUGGGGAGCAGGAGAAAGAUCUUGGCCAGAGUGGUGGUAUCAACCUUUAUGCCCGCUACAUCGAUGAAGCCGAGGGUUUGGAGAAGAUUGAGAACUUGCAGACACACGAUAACAACGAGAUUUAUGAAAAGGCUGUGAAGAUUCUGGAGACUUAUUGGCUAGAAGAGGAUGAGGAUUCGAAUGCGGCACCUGGCACGGAAGGCCAAACCUUCGCGUUUGGUUCAAGCAACGCUGCAGGCGCUCCUGCCGGUGGCUUCCACUUUGGCUAAAAGGUAUGCAAAUCUCACCUUUCUAGUCCCGUUUCGGUGGACAUUUCUAUGUGGGGAUGUUAUUCUGGCAUUUUUUCUUUCCUAAUAGUUGCAAAGUGCUGUAGGUACUUAGCCCCUUCUGUCAAGUUGAUGGAGAAUAUUCGUCAGGCACCAGUAAGACAUGCUUUCUACCAUUGUUAAUACGAUGCAUGGUUGCACUUGGGAUUUGUGCAGGAACAUUUUUGGCCCUGGAAAGCUGAUACUCUGAAACAAGUCGACGAGGGUGGACCGCUGAGGCAGGGUAUCUAUAUUGAUACUUCACUAGCUGAGACCUAAGAUGUUGGAUACUUGGUAGGAAAGUGUCUGACCUGAAGAGAUUCAGACUCCGUAAUGGUGGCUGAGCAGGAAGUUUGGUUGUGGGAUCAUCUAAUCUCUAACAGAUCUAAUCUGCGCUAAGUGAUUCAAGUCCGAACUUUGACUGUCCUGACUGUCAUCACUUACUUGGUCUCGGUUGCAUUGACUGCAACCCAUAGUCGUCGGUGCAGAUGCUGCACGGACAACAAUUCUCACCCUUAUGUGUUCCUCAUACCAGCGAGAAGUCUAGCUUGGAAUUAGACGAGAGCGUCUACUCUAACAGCUUUAUUUACAUGUCACAUGUCACAUGAUGUGUGUGGGCUUUUACAUUUGAAUAGAUUCACGAACUAUGAGUGCAGGGAUUUUUGCUGCCCAUAGUCCCAAGUUGACUUCUAACCUAUUGGUAGGAUCCCAGUAUGAGGAGUGGAGCUGACCGUCCUUAAAUUUUCUCCAUAGUCACUGAUCUUUGGCCGCGCAAUUGUAUGGCUCACUGACAAGUGCUUACGAUUCCUGGUCAAUCUCAGACUCGUAAGCAUAACUCUACGAUCUAAAUGUCAAGCGGUGAAUCCACUGCUUUGUCAUAUCUGAACUGACAUGUCAUUCCUAAGUUACGGUUAAUUUAAAACCCAACUUUAGCACUGAUACUGUUUGAUUCGCUGGAACUAAAUGGAAUAUGUCAUUUUCGGUCAAGUCUUAAUUUAGUCCAACUUACUAAACUGAGUCUAGAAUUAAUUUAUGGGCUAACUGGGUUACAAGGUACAACCGACUUUUUCUUAGAUGAUGGAUCGUGUUCAUUGGCUGUGUAAUUUAUGCAUUUUCAUAAAUUCAUGCUCUAGCUAAUUCAUUUAGCUGCAACUGAGCAAACCGGUUCUUGCUGAAUUUACGACCAGUUUCCACAGCUGAGUCAUCUUGAAUAUAUAGUUCUAAUUCCAAUUCAUUCUGAUCAAUGUGCUGAACACAACUCAACAGCUGGGAAUUGAGCGUGUUAAUGUGAUAUCUUGAUGAUGCUGUACCUUACCUUUCUGAUCUCCUGCUGCAGUGUACUUUUGAUGAACAGGGAGUGCAGAUAGUAUUUUUAUGAGUCUUACUUGUCUGCUGCAUGAUAUUCUUGUAGAGUGUGUCUUGAAAAGCUUUCAAGCGUAGUGUUCUGAAAAGGUAUCUGUGGAAUCAUCAAAGCAUCGUACGUACUAUUCUCAGUUUGAAAAAUGUGUAUGCACAACAAUAUAUUUUCUAAUAAGGAGCUCUAUUAAACGAAAGUGGCUGUGGGUGUCUAUUGGUCUGACCUUUGUUUGACAUUGUACAGCACCUUGUGAAUUGUGCAAAGACGGAGAAAUUCUCUCGAAGUACAUUUUACUACAAUUUUCCGUCUAGAAUGCAAACCUCCCUUAUUCUUUUAGAGUGCAGCAAGCUCCAUCUCCUUAAUUCGUUUAGAGAGUGCAGCAAGCUCCAUCUCCUCCUUAAUUCGUUUAGAGAGUGCAGAAAGCCCCAUCUUCUUAUUUACUCACAAAUAUUAUUGUUGUAUAGGAAAGUAUGACUACUCAAAUACUCACUUCUAAACAAUCAGCAACAAAUUCGAUUUGAAGAUUUCGGGUUAAAUGACGAAACUAACGUUCAAGAAGUCUUACAGACAUCAAGUGCCGUUGUUCAAAAAAAAAUUCCAUACAAGUGAUCUUCUGACAGGAUAAGUCUAUUGAAACGAUAACAAAUGCUUCACUUAAUUAAUUCACUCACAGCUUGGCUAAUCGUUGUGAUUGGAAAAUUUUGCUGAAUAGGUACCCAGCUCUCACUCUGCCCUUUUAACAUCAUUCGUCCGUCACUCAUUCGUGUUUGCACAUAGAUGUUGGCUAGCUGUGUCAGAUUUUGUAUGCAGCUGACUGACUGACAACCAAUUGUUGGGAGGUGUGUAGGGUUUAAGAUGUGAGGUUUAGUAACAAAAAAAACACACAAAAUCGUUUACGAACAAUUACACAGGGUUAAAAGUUCAUGACUUAUUAAAAUGUUUCGGUGCAAUGAACAAUUUAGAUUUUUUGUUCAUACAGUACCUAAACCAGCCGGAUACCUAUUCCGCCACAGCCCUAAGUCAUUUAAAUAAGCAGUUACAAUAUUUUCUCAGUAACAAUUAAGCUUCUUUUGCGAAAAAAUAUGCUAGAAAUGUUGAUGGAGAUAGUCUUGUCAAACUCUUGUAGAAUUAUCAAUAGAAUUGUUAGAGACUAUUACUUUGUGAAUGAAUUGAUAAGAGCAAACCUCAAAAUUUUGAAGUUUUAUAAUCUUCUAAUGAUAAUUAAUGACGAGUUUAUAUUGAUCCUCAGUACGUCAAUUAACCUUCUUCUGACUGUUCACAUGCAAUAUAAAAUAUCUUUCAAAAGCAUAGUACAAUAUUGAUCUCAUUCGGAACAAUAACUAGACAUAACAAGAAAAGGUUAUGAAUUGUAAAAGCCAAAGAUCAUAAAACAGGACAGUUUGUCAAGCAGAGAAAUAUCCAAUUGACGAUCUAGAAAUCAUUUCUUCUUUUCGAGUAUAGUUGAUUGCUAGCGUACAUGACAAUACAACAGUAUUCGUUUACGGUCAUCGGAGAGGUGAAUCUGUUCACUGGCUAUUGCUGAUUAAAGAGAAAUCAUGUUGAUACUUGAUCUGUGACACCCGACAUUCUAUAAGAAAAGAAUUUCAGCUUUAUAGCAGGUGAACACGCAUGUCAGGACAGCUAGAAGCAGUUCAAUCAUCCAGCAGACGCCACGCCCUCCAUCACUAUCCGAGUGGAAGGAAACACAAACAUUGAUAAGGGAAGACAACGCAGUUACGUAAUCGGGAAAAUUACCAAAACAAAUGACGUCAAUAUGUGCAUUUUAACAGUUAACGAUGGGGUAUUGUCAAGCAAAUCGUCAGGAGGAUGGACUCUGCGAGGGAUGAGUUGCGGUGCAGCCACUUAAGGUAAAAUUGCAAAGCAUGGAGGCAUCUAAGAGCAGAGCGUUUAAAUGAGAAACAGCAAAGAGGGCCAUAGUAAGUUUAAGGGAUAGGGAAUUACUGUGCUCUUUUUCGCCAACACGGAGAAUUUCUAGGAUAAGUCGUGCGACACAUUCAAGAGAAACAGGGUUGCAGUGACAAGUAGUGACUGUGACCAAUUUCAUUAGUAAACAAUCUACACAUUCAAGACAGAAUCCACGGUCCCAGACGUGAAUAACACAAGAGAUGGUGCAAGUGCAUUGAAAUGAGGGUGCUUCCAGUGUAAAUGCCUGAUAAGUCUACAAAGAUUUCUACUGCAGCCCCCUUUUGGCUUGCAGGAGAUGGUUGUUCCGUACCUGAUGACCAAGAGCAUUUCUAGGAGAUGAGUUAGCCCCCCAUUAGGUCAAUGUUACGGAAAGCACCAUCUACAAAAUCACACCCCAUUGUCCAUCACCAGAUUACCAGCAGGAGAAAAGAAUACACUACAAUUCAAGUGAUUUCGGUUUCCACAAAAAAGUGGACACAGAUAAUCUGUGGCGAAUCACGCGGGAAACUAUACUACUGGACGUCAGCUAAGGAAUAACCAAAGCGAGACCAAGCCUAAAAGUCAAUGAUUAUGAACAGCUCCAAAAACUGAGCCGAGUCAUGCAGGUUGUGGCAAUUUCAGAGAAUAACACAGUUCUUUUGUUUUUUCUUCUUCUUCUUCUGCUUGGGUGGCUGAAGAACAACCUUGAUGGCAGCAUCAAAAACUGCUUUCACAUUCUGCAUAGACCGAAAGGCGUCAUAAGACACAAAAAUCUUGCAGCCAUGAUGGACUACAUACUCUGGCCACCCAUCUUCAUAGAUGCGCAAGCUAGAAUACAAAGGGAAAAGUUACAUAAUUGUUUAAAGCAGAGCCAACACAUCACAUUGAGCAUAGAAGCCACAAUUGAAUUCAAGCGUUUACCUGCUGAGUCUUAGAGCUACACUCAAUGUAAGAGGCUGCUCCAAUCGCCUUUCUGAGUUCUUCACCCUGUACGCAAUACGUGUUAACAUAAGAUUCUGCUAUCACUGGGAAAUCUUGUGGGAUGUAACAGGGAAUGAUCUAGAUAUAGACACCGAAACCGAGGUGUAGAGAUCACACACAAGUACGCUCAACCUAGUUCGGAUAUCCAGAUUUGGGGUGCCAACGGAAACUACUUAGCCAUUAGAACAGUCUGACGAGUGCCCUAGUAUCUGAAAGUUAGAGUGUCUUCGGAGCAACUUCUGUAUUCGUAGAAGAUCAAAAGUAGACAGUAAAGCUUCACUACGUACUUGGGAGGUUGUGAUCGGAGCCGCUCCAGGAUGGUCGGCGAAAAAUUGCUUGUCAUCUCGAAGAUCUGCCCAUUCGCAGUUGCAGAAUUGUGAGACGAAGAAAUCUUCUCAGACAGACUCCAAAACAUAUUGCAAAGUUGCGGGCGUCAUGUACUACAAAUAACUGUUGUAAACGACACCAGUCCAGCGUACGUCAGAACGAUCAGUGCAGCCAGAAAAAUACGAACCUAGCUUCGUUCCGACGAGGAUAAUAGGUACAGAUGGAGCGUAGUGUCUCAGUUCAGGAAUCCACUGCCAUGUAAUAAAUCGUCAGAAUCAAUGCAAUCCACCGAGUACAGCAAUCAACCAAACGGUCGCGCAUCUACUCCUUAGGACACAAAUGUGAGGCCACUGAUGCAGAGGGCUAGUACCUUCUUUGAGAUGUUCUCAUAACUAGCUUUGCUGAUAAGAGAGAAUGCUAGUAGAAAAACAUCAGCACCCCUGUAACUCAGAGGUCGAAGCCUGUUAUAAUCUUCCUGACCUGCGCUUAGAGAAAACAAAUGGAAUGAGACCAUUUGAAGAUGACAAGUCCUGACUGAAUGGUUCGAAAGUGCAACUUCUGAUCCGAUCGAGUCGAUAACAUUGCUAGUAAGACUCAGAUCAUGUAAGAUGCUAAUGCCAUUGAAUUAUUGGUCGGUCACUGCGGAUGCCCUUGCCAUACAAAACGCUAGUAAUCAGCUGCGAAAUGCCAAAAGAACACCAACUUAAGUUAUCUCUUACCUGCUGUAUCCCAUAGUCCAAGGUUUACAGUGUUUCCAUCGACAACGACAUUCGCGCUGAAGUUAUCAAAAACGGUAGGAACGUAAUCCUGCAAAAUAAGGAUUAACUCUUGAGAUGUCACCCAGGAAAAAUUAAAUAAUAAGAAAAGGAUAUAUAUAUAUAUAUAUAUAUAUAUACAUCACAGCGUUGGAUACCAAAGCCGCCUGAUAACGCUCGCACGAUAAUGACAGACGUAAGUUGUGACGAUUAAAUGCAGCAUAUACAUUAACCCUGAAGGCGCCACAAUAUGACUGAAGCUGAUCUUUAAGACGUAAUGGGACGGAAACUGAUAAUAAUGCCAAAUAAACAUAGAGUGCAGUGAAAUCUGUCAUGAAAAAGCGCCUGUCCAGAAACGGUCGCAGCUUACAGUAGGAAAUGUAUUGCUGGUAUAAGAAAUAAGCAUGCACGUCUUUCCGACUGCUCCAUCUCCUACAGUAACGCACUUGAUAAACCGAGAUGUGCUCAUGGCUAUGUUCCUAACCCGCCGACAACUAUACAGUCACGAUCCUACAAUAAAGCUUCAACCUCCCUUCCUAUUACGCAUUUCAAGUACGGUGUAGCAUGGCAGUAGAUCUUGAAAAUCCGUCCUCCAACCGCUGUGUACAGACCUGGUUCCACACUUAGCGAAGUCUACAUGAUCUCACAAACCGAAAAAAACCAAGUGCCGCCGGAAAAACCUCGACAUAAAAAUCUCCUCUGCUCUUCAGAUCUGCCUAAACCACAAGACACACUGUCCUCUGAGCAAUUUCCAAAACAACACCAGCUGCUUUGUCCAUAUCUCGAACCCCAAACCUGCACACAUACACACCACUCCACAACCACCUCGCCCGCUCAGCUCACCUCCACUCCCUCCAACUCUGCGGAAACCGCAGUCCUCUACCUUGUGUCCGAGCCACACCCGAAGCGAGACUAGCGCACGACACCCUCGCACGACGCCCUCGCACUACGCCCUCACACUCCCCCCCCCCUUACGCCGACCUCAACACUAGACCACCUCACGCGAACCUCCCUAGGCAAAGGAGCAUUUCACGAAGCAGAGAAUAGCCUCUAGAGAGUCGCUACGGUGAAGGGCGAAUUGUGGCGGAAGUGCCACCAGAAACGGAGUAUUUUCCAGAUCUGCGGCAACGAAGGGCAGGGAGCAGGAAGAAGACCUGCGAUGGAGGGAGAGAGAGAGGGCGAGCUUGCAGAGGCGAGGCAGGCAGGAGGACAGUAAAGCGGGCCGGGAAGGGGAGGAUUGGAAGAAGGGCUGUAGGCGAAGGAAAGCAGACGACGAUCGUCCCGCCCCGCCUCGUCCCCUGUCCGGCCCGGUCUGGCCUGCGCUGGCUGGCUUUCCCUUUGCUCGGCACCCUCAGUUUUGGCCGCAUUCCCCGAAGAGCCUCGUUUUAGCGCUCUGGCAGGCCCACUCCCCAACCCAGCCCGGCCCCGAUCCUGCAACGGCCCAUCGCUUUGGGGCCAGCCAGUCAGCCAACGAGCCAAGCCAAGCCAGCCAGGCGAAGGGAUUGAGUUAAGGGGGAUAUUAGAAAUUGGCAGUGGGGAAGUAUUAUACCUUUCAACUCUACCACCGUUUCAAAAGUACGGAGAACCCACCACUAUGUAUAUAUUUUUUAUGAGCUUUAAAAGUAUGACAUAAAUGCCAAGCUUCGUUACCAUGGAAAGAUGAGGCUAAGGGUGACAACAAAUAAAAAUACAUUACCUAUGGUUUGAUUAUUUAAAACAAUGUCAUUGCUCUUUUUCACACAUGAUUGGUGUUUUUAUACCAACCUUCUUGAAUGAUGCUUGUAUUUUUGUAUACUGAAGUAAAAGAUGAGCUCAUCAUGUCUUGAAAGAUGGUUGAUUUUCAUUUAACCGGAAUAUUCUUAUGAUAUUUUUUAGUAUCGAGGUGCUGAAUUGAGUUUCUUCGUCAUCUUCUUCUUAAAACAUUUUCUACUUGUGCCUUUAACUUUUAAUACGGUGCUUGUGUUCAAAAAAGUUACAAACACACAUUAAAUAGAAGGUUUCAUUUUUAAUAUUAUUGAAGCGUUACAACAGAACUUCAAAAAAAAGCAUUAUCACUUUAGAUUAUUGAACUUCUUUAUAGCAUAACAAAUGUUAUAAAAUGAUAAUUGAUACCAUUAAUUUAAUUGAAGCUACACUUAUGUUUUGGAUGAAAUUAUGGAGGUAAUCAAAUUAAAGACUUAUAUUUAUAUUUUAUUUUAUUCAUGAAUUAGGAUUAAAAUAUAGUGCCAUUAAAGAAUAUAUAUAUAUAUAUAUAUAUAUAUAUAUAUUUGAUUUUAUUAUUACAAUAAAAUUUCAAUUUUUGUUAUGAAUAACUAUUUGUAUUAUCUAUCAAUUAUGAACACUUUAAAUGAAUUUUGGUUCAAAAACAUAUACAAUCAUGUGAUUCUACAACAGUUUCAAAGCUAUUUUCAUCUUUUUUUGGUUUCACAAUGUGUCUUCUAUCUUAAAAUUUGUAUAUAUCUUGUGUAAAAUUAUAAUUAAAAAUCCUAUAUACAUACAUAUAUACAAAACAAUAAUGUGAUGUACUUUUAAGGAACUUUAACUAUUGAUGGUACUAUUAGAUUUAUUGUGGUUAAUCUUAUCUAAUAUUGUAUGUAGUUUGAUUUUACAUCAUUAUUAUUUCUAAGCUAAAAAGAUUGAGAUUGUUCAUUGAUAAUUUAUUUGACUAUGAACAGCUUUAGAUUUUGAUAAAAAGUAAAAUGUUUCUUAAUAUUCAUCAAAAUAAGUUGUGAUAUUUAUUAAACAAUUUUCCAUAAACUUAAAAAUGAAAAGAAAAAUAGAUUUAGCUAUAUAAUAGAUAGGCAGAGUUUCUUUGAAUAAAUUUAAUAAAAGUAACAUUUCUACAAUGUUAUUAUUGUGAUAAUUCUUAUUCUUUAAAAAUAAUAUAUAUUUUUAAUACUUCACUAUUAAUAAAAAAAACAUAGUUUGAUAUUAGGCUUUCAUAAAAUUUGGCAUAUCGGUAGCUCUCUUAUAUUAGUUUGCAUUUGUAUUUGUACAUAUAUUUUUUUACAAAUGUUGGAAUUCAAUUCAUAACUCAUAGAUUUAAAAAUGAUAUAAGCUACAUAUUAAAAAUUCUACAUAUAACUUAAGGUAAAAAAUUAAUUUAAUAUAGUUUCUUAUGUAAUAUACAUAUAUAUAUAUAUAUAUAUAUAUAUAUCAUAAGAAAAAGCAUGUUUAUCCUAUGAAUACAAAUAUGUAUUUUUUGAAGUUUAUAAAACAAUAAUAACACAAAAUAGAUGUUAUUAUGUCUUAGCUACUAAAUAGAAGGCAAAAGAGAGAAAAUAUAGUACACAAUGCAUAUAAAUUAUGGAAACAUUAUAAUUUUAUCUUAGAAAAAUUAUGAUUUAUACUUCAAUUAAGAAUCUAGAUGUCAUAGGCGUUGUUUUUAAAUUGCAAAAAAGAAGAAAUUUUAAGAUCCGAAAUUGAUUGUACAAUUUUUUAUACUCAAAUUGGUUGAUCGCAAAAGUAGAACUUCAAGAUAAGAUGUUUUAUCAUCAAUGCUAAUAAGAUAGAAACUUAGUUUUUAAAAAUUUUAAAUUUUAAUUCUAAUAACAUUUAUAUCAUUAUUUAGAAUAUUUAAAUAGAAGUAAUAUAUAAUAAUAAAUUUAUUUUUUAUUUAAUUUAUUUCAAUACAUAUAAUCAAUUAGCAUAAAAUAUCUAUUAUUUUAAAAUUAAAAUUGGUAUUUAUAUUUAUAAAAAAUACAAUAAAGAUGUGGUAGAUUUUAUAUAUAUAUAUAUACAAAAAUAUCAUAUAUAUCUCUUAAGUAUGCUAAAAUAUCAAGAAUAUCCUUACAUUUUUGAUAGUAGCAAAUAUACUCUUGAAUAUGUCAUAUUCAAGAUAAAGUAUCACCAAUCCGACAAAGAUACAAUAAUUUUCAUGGGUUUUUUAUUUUUUUAUUUUUUAUUUUUAUAUCAGGCCUAAACCACAUGCCUUUAAGAUUUUGCAUUGCCAAAUUGUCAAAUUGCAAAGGAGCCUAUGGCCCAUGUGUUGUGUACUCUUGGAAAAUUGGGGCUUUGUUCCUUGCACCUCCCAUGUCCUUUGUCAUUGCUGCACAAUCUAGGCAAGGCACCAAUGCACCCUUGAUUCUAAUGUACCUCUGAUAUUGGCUUCAAUGCAAUCCUAGUUUCUAGUUGAAACUUAGAAUUCAAAGUGUAUAUAGAAAUUCAUCAAUGGAAGCACAAAGGUGCAUGCCUUGAUAUGCAUGAUAUAUCACCACAAUCAAUUAUAAUAUAAUAGGCAAUAUUACUGCAAUUACGCUAUUACAAAGCCUCUCCCACAUCCUGCAAGUCAUAUUCAAUUAAGUUGAUGUCUAUGCCUAUCCUUAAGUGUUUAAAAAGUAUUAGCUUGUUGUGUUGCAGAUUCAAUUGUCUUCUUUAGAUAUCUUAUCAUAUUCAAAGGUACAUUUGCUAUUAUUAAGAAUGCAAGGAUAUUCUUGAUAUUUUAGCAUAUUUUAGGGAUAUUUAAGAUAUUUUUCUUGUUUAAAAUAGGCAUACCUAAUUUCAAAUGUAAUGUCUUGUUUAUUAUAUUUUUAUGCAUAUUAAAAUAUAGAAUCUAAAUAUCUAGUUAGCAUAGAUCUUAGUUCUAUUUAAUCUUAUAAAAUUUUAAUAUUAAAUUAAUUUUUUUUGAAUAAUUAUUUUUUUGAGACUAUAAAAAUCUGUAAUCUUAUUAAGUUUAUCAUCUUCUCAAAAUCUAAAUUCUAUAAAAUAAAAAUUAUAAAUUUAAAAAUCCUAUAAAUUAUGAAAAAAUCUAAACAUCUCAUAAGCACUAAAUUAUUAAAUUAUAAUAAAAUAAAACUUCUAAUUGAAUCAUUAGAUUAGCCUUCUACAUAAUGGUUUUAUUCGUAUCAUUUAAGCAAUUGCAAAAUUUGAAGCAAACAUAAUUUAUAAAUUUAAUAGUUUUUAUAAAAAAUAUAUAUAUUUUUUAGUUUAUUACUUUGAAUCUUGUAAAAACUUAUAGAAGCUAAAUUUCUACUAUAAAAAUUAAAGUUUUCUAAAAGGAUCAAAAUUAUUAAGUUAUGUCUUUUUAAACACCUUGAUUAUUUAUUUAGAUUAUAGAAAGAAUAUUAGAAUUUCAAUAAAUAUUUUUUGCAACCAAAUGGCUAACACAUUUCUAAGUUAUAAUUCACUUAAUAAAAAAAUAUAUUAUUAAUAUUUUAAAAUAUUUAUUUUAUUGAAAGUAUAAAUAUAUAUAUAUAUAUAUAUAUAUAUAUAUAAUUUUGUAACCAAUAUUGAAUUGUUUAAUUUUAGUACAUAUUUGGAUUUGUGGUCAUAUAUCUUUUGACAUCACCAUCAAAAUGACAAAAAAGUUUGAAAAAAAUGACUUAUUUAUAUGUCUAUAUAAUAACAAAAUUUCAAAAAUAGAUUAAGCAUAAAUGAAAAAAAAAAUCAAACUUUAUAAUAAUUGUUAUUACCUUCAAAACUUUGUUGUCUAUAAAAUUCUAAUUUUGAAUGUUUAGCAAAAAAAAUAUUAUAAAUUGAAAUCCUAUGAAUCUUAUAGCCAUAAAUUGAAAUCCUAUGAAUCUUAUAGCCAUCUUAUAUUUUCGAAACUAUUUCUUUGAUCACAUGUUUUAAUCUCUACAAAAAAAAAAAAAAAAAAAAAAAAAAAAAACACACACACACACAAACACAAACACAAACAAAAAAUGCUUGCUUGUCUUAAGCUCUUGUUUUUCUAUUUGAGAUAAAAAUUUGAUGAUGUCUUAUAAAUGAUUAUUUGUCAAGUAUGAAUCUUGUAAAUUUUUUUAAAAUUUUUACAUGAAUUUAGCCUUAAAUUUAUCUUAGAUGUGGUUUUAUGAAUUAGCUAUCUAAUAUACCUUAUCUUGAUUUACUUAUAGCCCAAUUGAAGCAAUAAAGAUCUUUUUGAUUAUAAAAGGUAGCAUAUAUCAUAAAAAAUUUAGUUAAAUUUGAUAUUUUAAUUGUUGAAGUAUAAGAAACAUUUACUAAACUUAUACUUAAAUUUUUUCCAUGUAUCUUGAUUUUUUAUUUAAUUUUUUAUCAUAUAAAUGUAUUGCAUCAUAAAAAAUAUUUCUUAAAAUUAAAAAACUUCAAAAAAUAUAAUAUAAUUACUUCGCAUAUUUAAAAGAAUCUAUAUGUAAGUCUAAAUCAAAGAAGUGAUGUUCAUAUUCGUUAAAGAAGAUAUUAUUUGUUAUACAUAUUUUUAUGUAAUUAUGUUUAAUUUUUAAAGUUAAGUGGUAUGCAUAUCUAAUAUUAUGUGUAAUUUAAAUAUAUUAUAAAAGUUACAUAAAUAUUAAAAGAUAUAGUUUUUAUAUAAUACAUUAUUACUCUUUUAUGAUAAUGAUGGUAGAUAAUGUGUUUAACUUGAUGUGUUACCAACUACUUAAGAAAGCAUAUUGAUGUAUCUGAUUUAUUUUAUCUCAUGAAUAAGACCAAGAAUAUUUAUAAGUUAGUAGUACUUGUUUUAUAAUUUUUUAAGAAUCUUUAUUUUUAUCUUUGCUUUAAUAUAGAUAAGAAGACUAAAAAUUCAAAUUAAAAGAUUUCAAUUUUCAUAUUUCUUUUGAUUAAUUUUCUUAUAGUGACGAUUAUAUAUAUAUAUAUAUAUAUAUAUAUAUUAAUCAAAAAAAUUGAUGUCAUAUUAUAAUAUAGAUAACCAUAACAAAAAUCUUUAAUGUUUUAUGGAGCUAAUUAAUUAAUUUUCUUAAAACUUUAUUACAGGCAAAAAAAUAAUACAUACAUACAACUAUUUAUAUAUAUAUAUAUAUAUAUAUAUAUAAUUUCGUCUUAUUUUUUAAUGAUUCAAAAGAAUUCUCUAUAAUACCCUUAACAAAAUUAGAAUGAAUAUUUAUUAAAAUAACAAUGAUAAGUAUAUUAAUUGAAAAAGAGUAGUAAAAAUAAUACCAUAAAAGAACAAAAACAUUCAAGAAAAGAUUGAUAACAUUCUCACAAGUUCAACUAAAAAAAGUACUCUAAUAAGAUUACUGACAUAAAACCAGAGGAAAAAAACAACCCUAACCAAAAAAUAAAUGAUGUUCCAUCUACUUUAUCUUACAAUUAUCAAUUCAUUACUUCUUUUUUUUUUUUUUUUUUUUUUUUUUUCUUUUCUUUUGUUUUAUUUCUAUAAAAUUUCAUGAUAUGUACAUGUGUUUUUCCAUCUUAUUGGUUUCUAAAUGUUAAAGAAUUAAUAAAACAUAAAAUAUAAAAUUAAAAUUAAAAUUAAAAAUAUAUACUUUAUAAAAUUAUUUUAAAAUAGUAUUUAAAAUCUAAAAAAAAUAACAAUAAAAUAACUAAAUAAGAAAAAAAAAUAACAACAAAAUAAAAAAUAACAACAAAAUAAGAAAACAACUACAAGAUUGUUUUUAAAUGUAUUAAAUUUGAUUUUGGAAAUCACAAGGCACUUUAUACAUGGAAGCCUACUUCGAAAGAUUUUGGUUCAAAAAUCAUAUUGAAUUUUUGCACUUAGUAAAGAAAAUUUUUCUUUUUUAUAUCUUAACUUUUUACUUUAAUAGAAAGUGAGAGGAGACCAUGAAAUAGACAUCUUUUACAUUUGAUUUUGCAAAUUAUGAUGUGCAUGCUUUGAACGUUUGAAUAACCAAAAAAAGGCAAUCUAAUUACUACCUUGAAUUUUCAAUAAAAAAGAAUGAUAAGAUUAAUUUCCUGAAACCUUAUAAAAUAUCAUAAGUAAAAAAAGAAAAAAAAAGAAAAAAACUCAAAGAUGACUCUUUAAUCACACAUAAAAUCCCAUCCGAUUUUGAACUACAUGGAUCAAAUUCUCCAUCAAAUUAGUAGUAUUGCGAGGAGUGAGUAAAAAGCACCAAAUAGUAAGCAAUAUCCAGCUUUGUUUUAAACCCUAGAAAUUUAAGACCUCAAUUCUGAACUUGAGCAUUGAUCGCCCGUAAAUGGGAUCUGGGGUUCGCUGGGCACUCGUGGCCCCUCUGUACCGGGCGGAACGAGCGGUGUGUUCAGGGCUCGCCAAACGGCCCUGCAGCGGAGCCGUUGCGGGUGCCCCGUUGUCAGAGCUGGGCGGGGAAGAACGGGUAGGUUAGGGAGCCGUUGGAAUAACCCCUUCAGUUCGAACCUGGGACGGGUAGCGAGGCCGGGAAUCCCACAGCACAGAUACCGGCCUCGAGGCCGCAAUCGCCACCUGCAUUUGGCUCAUCCAUCCCACCCGGUAUGACAGUGCCUUGGCGACCACUGGUCUUUGACCGGUUUGUCCGCACCGACCGAGCCGGCGCCAGGUGGAUCCACGUGGUUUGUCCUUCGUCGUGCUCGGAUACAGAGGAGAUUAGUGUGGAGUGAGUAAUAGUGUGAGUGGUUUCAAAAACACUCUCAGGUUUGCUUGAUUACCUGUUCUGUAUUUUGUUUAUAUAUAUAUAUAUAUAUAUAUAUGCUUCAAAUGGAAAAUUAGACGCUUUGAAAAUUACUAAUACUAUUAGCUACGAUACAGUAUUGAAGGACAUGAGAAAUUGAAAUUAAAAUCUAUUUCAAGAUGUCUAACAUUGAAUUCUAAGCUAAAUUAAGACCACAUUGUUUAAAAUUUGAUUAGGUUCAAGAAGAUGUGAUUUGUGUAUGAAUUAAAUUGUGAAAAUAUUGAGAAUCAAAACAUGGAUUUUAGUUUUUUUGUUUGAUUACGAACUAUGGAGUUUUGGAAAAUAAUAUCUCAUUAUUUAUAUUCAUAUUUUUUUUAUUUUAUUUCUUUCUGAAACAUAAUAUGAAAUAAGUACAUGUCUGAUAAAUAACUCAGUAUCAUCAUAGCACCAAAAGUUGUUGAUUUUUGUAACGUAUCAGCACAUUACAUUUUACUUAAAAUCACCAAAAGAUUUACUAUUAGUUUUUGGACUUAUGUUAAUUAAAAAGUCCGCAAAGUAAACUAUUCAAUUUCUAUUUUUUUUUAUUAUAUUACAUAAAAUCAAACAAUUUUUUUUGAAAUAGAUAUCAAACAACAUACAUAUGUUUCUUUUAUAUUAGGCCACAAGAAAACAUACAUAUUAUUUUAUGAUAGUUAUUUCAAAUAAAUAAUACUAGGAUUUGCCUCAUGCAUAAUGCACAAGUUUCUUAAAAAAAAUUUAAAAUAGAAAUUCAAGGAAUAUGUCUAGAGAAGUUUUUGUCGUAUUCUGACUAGGACCUAUUGGGACUCCAAACUUAAAAAAAUUAGUCAAUCUUAUGGCAAUUUCUAGUUCCAUUGGCACCCCUCCUCCACACCCUUCGUGACUUCUUGUCUUAUUGUUAGUCCUUUUCACAUUACACACUUUACUAAAAGAAGUUGGAACUUGAGACCUGAAAAUUAGUCUGACUAGGACCUAUUGUGACUCCGAACCUAUUUUUAGGAAUACAACCGUUUAUUUUACUAUAUGAUAUAUAUAAAAAUAAUCAUAGCCUAAAAUAUUGAAAAAAUAAUUUUGUAACUUUGAGCUUUAUCAAUACCAUAAAAUCCGUGUAGUCAUAUUUCUUAAAAACAUUUUGACAAAAAAUUGAGCAUGAUUUUGUCACAAUACAAUAAAAUUCACUCUUCAAAUACAUUUAUGGAAAUGCAUAGAACAUACUCUAAGUGAAUUAUUUUCUAACACCUUGAAUCUAAAGUUGCUGUAUUUUGAUCAAAAAAUUUUAAAUGGAUUUUCAGAAUCAUUCAGACUGCUUAUUGCAGUGCUGGUGUUCUGUGUAAUUGGACCUUUUCUCCAGAUCAAUAUGCAUUUUAAUCAUUUACAUUAUCUUGUGGAGAUUAUGAUUUUUUAUUAUAUAUAUUUAUAUUAAUCACAAAAAUAAUAUAUCUUUAAAAUGUUGAUAUAUAUAUAUAUAUAUAUAUAUAUACACACACACACACACUCACUAGUAGAAACCCAUGCCAUUGGCUAUAAAAGUUUAAUUUGUGGUUUCUAAGUCAAAAUUGACUAUUCUUAAAAAAAUGUUAAUAAAGAAAGAGAAUAAGAAAAAAAAGAAAAAGAAAAAAUAGACAUGCAUAAAAAUCAAAUUAUUUAUGCAAAUAUAGGGAUUUUAAGAUCUAUUCUUACAUUCUUCAAUGAUUGUUCUUGAGAUUUUUUAAUAAUCAUAGCAAAUCCCAUUUUUAUCAAAAAAUUCCUUAGCUACAACUUGAAUGGAAUUUUUGUAGACGAUGGAUAUGAGUAAUGCUUUGAAGAAAAGCUAAUUGUUCCUUGUAGUCUCUAGAUAACAAUCUUGCUUCUAUAACUUAACAAGCUAGUUACAUAAUGAUCAAGUGUGAUCCAUUACAUAGUCCUUGAUGCAAAGAAUUUUUUUGCAAUAAAGUUAUAAAACAUCGGAUCUUAAGCUCUAAGCUAAAUAGAGGCAAUCUAAGUAGACUUGAACUUUUCAAAUAUUUGAUUAGAUAAUAAUUACCAUUAUUGGCUCUAUCUUCUAUAAUUAUUAUAUGUGCAUUGAAAUAAAUACAUGAAAUUUUAAGAAAUCUCUUCUCUAUACACUUAUUUAAAUCAUCAACCUCAUAAUUUUGUACAAAUAAAAUAGACAUAUUGUUGAAAUAUUCAUUUCCAAGUGCUCUAUCUUUAUCAAAUACUAAAUAGAUAAUUUGAAUUAAAUUAUUUGAUAUUAGAUCUACUUUCAUACAUUCUAGGAGAAUGACCAUGUUUUUAAUGGAUCUACAAUUAUUGAUUUAUUUCUAAUCUACAAAUCAAAGCAAUUUUAAGAUGUAUUAAAUUUAAAUAUUUUAUAAUAAAAAAAUUCUAAUAAGUAACAAUCUUGUAUAAUAUAUAUUUUCAAAAGCUCUUCAAUAAAUAAUCAAUUCUCAUCAAAUUUUAAAGGACAAGAACUUGAUACAAACAAAUAAAUAAGUGAGACUUUUUUCAAAGAAAGAUGACAAAAUAGAAAUAACUAAAUAUGUAUAUUAAGAAAGAAACUAGAAUGGCUAUUUCCAAAAGAUAAGAAAACUAGAGCCCCUUGAAACUAGACUAGAAGUAAGAAAGAAGUUGAAAAGAAUAAAGAAGGCUUUAUCUUUGCCUCUAUAUAUACUAUCUAACUAGGAGCUAUGUGGCGACGUUCUAUAGGACCUCCAAAAACGUGUUGACUUUGUAUAACACGUAUCUUAACUUGCAAGGCAAGAUUUCUCUGUGGACACCAUAUAGUUAGCUUGUUCCACAAGCUAUCAACAUGUGUGGCACAUGGUUAGGUUGUUGACGAAGUUUCUAAUCUACUAAUCAAGUAUAAAUACAUGUAAAGUCAAAGCAACAACUAUGAAGCUUCUAGGAAGCUUUUCUAGAAGAUAUUAUGAAAUUAAUCUACUUUUAUCUACUUCUAGCUAUUCAUAUUACCUAGGUAAUAAUUAUAGUAAACAUAUGUCCAUGACAUUACUGCCCCUUCUAAAGACGAGUUCCAUGAAGAGCGGUGAUCACAUGUUGAGCAAGUCUAAGAUGGAGCAAAUUAUAUUUGCCACAUAUUUUGAUCUUUGUUCUCUGCGAAAAUGAUUAAUAGGGCCUCUCAACCAUCAAUAGUGUCUCAUACCAAGGCGGAAAGACCACCCAAUUAUUUGAUCAUUGUUGAGGCCUUCAUAACUUCCUUUAAAUAAAAUAUUUGGAACACCGUCAAGAGUUGUUCAUACCUCUAGUAAAAUCACCAAACAUCAAAAGUCCCUUCUAAGGUCAUGAUAUCAAACAUGUUGUAUUCCGCCAUUUAUUCAAGGAAGAACAUGUGUCACGGCCAUAAUCAUGUAAGCUAAUAAUUACAUAUAGAAAUAGGUAGAAGUAAGUAAAAGUAGAUAAAAGUAAGUUAAUUCUAUAAUAUUUAAUAUAGAAGCUUCCUAGAAACUUCCUAGAUGCUGCUUUGUCUUCAUAGGUGUCUUUAAUUGACUUUUUGGAUUAGAAACGUGGUCAACAAGUUAGCCAUGUGCCACACAUGUUGUUAGCUUGAAGAUCAAGCUAACUAUGUGGCCCACACGUAGAAAAACUUGCCUUGUAAGUCAAGGCAUGUGUCCUAUAAAGUCAACACAUAUUGGAGGUCCUAUAGAACGUCGCCACGUAGCCCUUAGUUAGAUAGUAUAUAUAGAGACAAGAGUGAAGGCUUCUUCACUCUUGUCAACUCCUUUCUUGCUUCUAGUCCAGGUUCAAGAGUCUUUAGUUUCUUGUCUUGUGGCAAUAGCCAUUCCAGUUUCCUUUUAAUAUACCUACUUGUUUAUAUUUUGACUUAUUAUAUUGAGAUAGCCUUUUGGUGUAUAUUUUCCCUCAUCGAGUCUUUGUCCUUGACAGAUUGACAAGAGUACACUUACAAUAUCAGAGCUUUGUUUUUUCUUGAGUAAGAGUGGAUUAUCCCUUUCUCUUGACAAGACAUAAGCGUAUUAGAAGUUUGCGGAUUACCCACUUCUAAACUGAUAUUGUUCUUAGUAUCUUCUUUGUUAUCAAGUCUUUCUUUUCUUUUGUCUUGAGCAAUAUCAAACAAAUUUUUCUUCUUAGUGUCAUUAUGGCAGAGCUUGUUGAAAUGAAGAGUGCAAUGGCACAAAUGCAAGAGCAAAUGAGGGAGUUAAUGCUUGCGAUGCAUCAACUCAAUUCACCAACACAGGAAAGAACAAGAAUAGCAGAAAGUGGAGAUAUAGAGAUGAACGGAGCUACUUCAACAUCUUCAACAAAUCACGUUCCUUCUCCAAUUGUACAACACCCUAUAAGCACUAGAGAACCAAGAAUUGCCUUACCUGAGAAAUUUGAUGGUACGAGAUCAAAGUUUCGAGGGUUCAUCAAUCAAGUACAAUUGGCAAUUGAACUUCAACUGCAAAGCUAUCCAACUCCAGGAUCACAAGUCAGGUUUAUUGGCACUCUACUUUCUGGUUCUGCAUUAUCGUGGUUUUCGUCUUUUCUUGAACAACGAAAUCCAAUAUUGGACAAUUUGGAAGCUUUUUUGGCGGAGUUUCGAUCUAUGUAUGGUGAACACGAUACAACUCGUGUUGCAACAAAUAAGAUCCGAAUUCUGCGACAAGGAAAUCGCUCAGUAACAGUGUAUGCUUCACAAUUUCGACAACUUGCAAUUGACAUCAAGUGGGAUGAUGCUGCACUCAUUAGUCAAUUUCUUUAUGGAUUGCAAUACGAAGUAAAGAAAUUGAUGCUCAACUUACCUGAUCCUCAAACUUUGAGUCAAGCAAUCGAUUUUGCGAUAAAAUGUGUUAAUCGACUUUUCGAAUUUUGAUCUGAGAAUCAUUCACGGGAACCUCAACAUUAUUACUCAAUGACAACAUCAACAUCUUUGCCAAACGUACAUUCGGAAGUAGAAGACAUGCAAAUUGACGCGGUACGUUUUAAAUCCCUAACUGAGCAAGAAAAGAUUCGUCGUCGUCAAGAAGGAUUAUGUUUAUAUUGCGGAGAACCUAAGCACACUGCUCAACAUUGUCUAAAGAAAUGACGGAACUAUAAAAUGAGGGGUACGACGGUCAAAGAAGACAACAUGUCAGAAAACGGAUUCGUCCAGCUACAAUAGGGACCGUGCAGCUGGAACCUUGUACAAUUCCUAAUGAAGGUCCUAUCCUCUCCUCAGAACCCUCUCCUUGUUUUAUAAUAGACUUAUAUUUAGGACCUAAGAAUUACAAAGCCUCUGCUUUAUUAGAUUCGGGAGCCUCAGCAUGUUUUUUAGAUGAACAAUUUGUUAAAAGUCGUAAAAUAUCCUUUGUACAGAAACCUAAACCAGUACAUGUAGAAGUCAUAGAUGGUCGUCCUUUGUCUUCUGGAGAUGUCACUCAUGAAACUCAUCCUAUAAAAGUAACAAUAGACGGUCAUGAUAGCUACAUAGCUUUUAACAUAAUUAAAUCCCCGUCCAAUCCAGUUAUUUUAGGUUUAUCCUGGCUAGAAAAAUAUAACCCUCGAAUAGAUUGGAAUUCGCAUAAACUUGACUUUUUCCAGAGCGUUAUUAAUAGUUCUACUAACCAAGUAAAAAAUUAUAAGUCUAGUAUAGUAAAAUCCGUACUGAUAGGUGCAAAAGCAUUUAUACACGCAGCAAAAGAAAGAUCAACUUUUGCUAUUUAUACUGCACCUAUUUCUAAAAACGUAAAGACUUCAAGUGGCAUUCCAAGUCAAUAUCAGGAGUAUCAAGACGUUUUUGAGAAAAAGAAUGCAGAUAUUCUUCCUGAGCAUCGUCCAUAUGAUUGUUCAAUCGACCUCAAGGAAGGAACUCAGCCACCAUUUGGACCAAUUUAUAGUUUAUCGCAAGAUGAGAUGGCUGAACUCAAGACAUAUAUUGACGAGAAUUUAGCGAAGAAUUUCAUACGCCAUUCAAAAUCUCCAGCAGGAGCUCCAAUUCUAUUCGUAAAGAAAAAAGAUGGAUCUUUACGAAUGUGUGUUGAUUAUCAAGGACUCAACAAGAUCACAAUCAAGAACAGGUAUCCAUUACCUUUGAUAUCAGGACUCCUUGACCAGUUGAAUCAAGCUAAGAUCUAUACAAAAAUAGAUCUAAGAGGAGCAUAUAAUCUAGUACGGAUCAAAGAAGGAGAUGAAUGGAAGAUUGCGUUUCGAACCAGGUAUGGACAUUUCGAAUAUAAUGUCAUGCCCUUUGGACUCACGAAUGCACCAGCUGCUUUUCAAUAUCUCAUGAAUGAUGUAUUUUGUGAAUUCUUGGACAAUUUUGUUGUCUGCUAUCUAGACGAUAUCCUGAUCUAUUCUAAGAACGUCGAAGAACAUGAAAUACAUGUUCGUCAAGUAUUACAAAAACUUAGAGAUGCAGGAUUGUACGCCAAGAUAGAAAAGUGUGUAUUUCACACUACUCAAGUUGACUUUUUAGGAUACAUCAUUUCAAAUGAUGGUCUCAUGAUGGAUUCUAAGAAAGUCCAAACAAUCAUGGAUUGGAAGAUUCCAAGGAUGGUAAGAGAUGUCCAAUGUUUUUUGGGAUUUGCCAAUUACUAUCGGAUCUUCAUCAAAGAUUUCUCACGAGUUGCAGCUCCACUUACACGCUUGACUAGUAAAGAUAAAUUUCAAUGGAAUCAAGAAGCGGAAGCAGCAUUUGAAGCCUUGAAGACAUCGUUUGUCUCUGCACUAGUCUUAUAUCGUGUUGACUUUUCCAAGGCAUUUUUUAUGAAAACAGAUGCAUCAGAUUUUGCCUUGGGUGCAGUUUUAUCACAAAUGGGAACAGAUGACAAACUUCAUCCGAUAGCUUUUCAUUCAAGAAAAUUCUCAGUAGCCGAGAUCAAUUAUGAGAUCGACGAUAAAGAACUUCUUGCGAUCGUGGAUUCCUUUCAAGAAUGGCGUCAUUAUCUAGAAGGCGCUUCUAGUCCAGUCACUGUGUAUACAGAUCAUAAGAACCUCGAGUAUUUCAUGUCAACACGCGUGUUGAAUCGUCGUCAAGCUCGUUGGAGUAUGUCUUUGUCAAGAUUUGAGUUCAUUAUCACUUAUCGGCCAGGAAAACAACAAGGUUUAUCCGAUGCCCUAUCUAGACGUUCUUAUUUUGCACCAAAAGAAGGAGAUGCAGCUUUUGAGCAACAAAGAACGGUCCUCUUGAAACCGGAGCAAUUUCAUCUCCGAGCAAUGAAAUCAACAUUGACUGUUGAUUCAACUUUUCUCAAGCAAAUCCAGUCCAGUAUGUCCUCAGACCCUCUUGUUCAUGAUAUCGAGAAUAAUUCUUCCAAGUCUCAUGAUCCUUCUAAGUUCGAGUUCAAGAAUAAUCUAUUAUAUUUUGAAGGACGCCUAUAUGUUCCAGAAGGAGAAGCAUGUUUACGUGUUCUUCAAGCACGUCAUGACUUUCCAGCAGCAGGGCACUUCGGAUAUAAUAAGACUUUGGAACUCAUAUCAAGAGAUUUUUGGUGGCCACAAAUGUGGAAGUCAGUCAAAGACUUUGUACAAUCAUGUGAUAUUUGUUCAAGAUCAAAAAUUCCUCGUCAUCGACCUUACGGACUUCUUCAGCCAUUACCUAUACCAGAACAACCAUGGUCUUCUGUUUCUAUGGAUUUCAUCACAGAUCUUCCAAGCUCAAGAUCUUAUGAUUCUAUAUUUGUGAUAGUAGAUCAUUUCACCAAGAUGGCACAUUUUGUGCCAUGUACAAAAUCUAUCACAGGUGAAGAAACAGCUAAGCUUUUCAUUGAUAAUAUCUAUCGCUAUCAUGGAUUACCUAAAGAUAUCAUAUCAGAUAGGGGAACUCAAUUUGUGUCAAGAUUUUGGAGGACCCUUUUCAAGAUUUUAAAAGUGGACAUAAAGCUAUCUUCGGCUUUCCAUCCUCAAACUGAUGGACAAACAGAGCGCGUAAACCAAGUCUUGGAGCAAUAUUUAAGGUGUACUAUCAACUACCAACAAGAUGAUUGGACAACCCUUCUGCCAUUGGCAGAGUUUGUUUAUAAUAAUAUGGUACAUUCUUCCACGUAACAAACACCUUUCUUUGCCAAUUUUGGCUAUCAUCUAGGACUUGAUACUUUUGAUUUUUCAAAAGUUGAUAAUCCUGCAGCAGAAGAUAUGGCAAAUCGGUUGUCAGAGUUACAUGCAAUAAUGAAGACGCAAUUGAAGGAAGCUCAAGAACGACAAAAGAUAAACGCAGAUCUAUAUCGUAAAGAGCAACCACAACUCAAUGUGGGUAAUAAGGUAUGGCUACUUCGUCGCAAUAUCAAGACUACUCGACCUUGUGACAAGUUGGACUAUCGUAGGCUUGGCCCCUUUUCUGUUUCUGAACAGAUCAACCCAGUUGCAUAUCCGUUACAUCUACCGGAGUCAAUGAAGAUCCAUCCUGUAUUCCACGUGUCUCUUCUUGAACCAUAUAAGACAGUGGAUAUACAAGGAAGAAGACAAAUGCCACUGCCUCCUAUAGAAGUAGAUAAUAAUGAAGAAUUUGAGGUGGAAGAGAUAUUAGACUCAAGGCGGUGCCGAAAUAAGCUGGAAUAUCUUGUUCAUUGGCGCGGAUAUGAUAUUAGUGAACGCACAUGGGAGCCAUUUAGGAAUCUAACAAAUGCAUCAGCUAAAGUCAAAGUUUUUCAUCAACGACAUCCAUCGAAAUCAAGAUGAAAAUCUCUCUUAUAAAAGAGACAAGAUUGAGGCAAGAUAACAUUCAAUUUCCUAUCCUUGUUUGUAACUUCUUUGCAUUUGUGACGCUAAUUAAAUGGAGAGCCAACAACCAGCGGAUUCAACUCAAGAACCUUCGUUUGCUGACCUACCGGAUGAGACAUUACGAUUGUCACAACCUUCAAGACGACGCAAUCGAGAUGAAGAUCUUCAAGAACGACAUGUUCUUCCUCGAAUAGAUGGUGAGAUACAACGCGUUUGGUAUCACAAUUUGGGAAGGGACUCCCGAUGUUUGGUGAUUUUGCUAGAGGUAGGAACAACUCCUGAUGGUGUUCCAAAUAUUCUAUUCGAAGGAAGUUACGAAGGCCUCAACAAUGAUCAAAUAACUGGGUGGUUUUCCCGCCCUGGUAUGGGACACUACCGAUGGUUGAGAGGCCCUAUCAAUCAUCUUCGAAGAGUACAGAGAUCAGAGUAUGUGGCGAAUACAAUUCGUCGCAUCAUAGAUUUCCUCAACAUAUGAUGACCGCUCCUCGUGGAACUCGUCUCUAGAAGGGGGGGUAAUGUCACGGCCAUAAUCAUGUAAGCUAAUAAUUACAUAUAGAAAUAGGUAGAAGUAAGUAAAAGUAGAUAAAAGUAAGUUAAUUCUAUAAUAUUUAAUAUAGAAGCUUCCUAGAAACUUCCUAGAUGCUGCUUUGACUUCAUAGGUGUCUUUAAUUGACUUUUUGGAUUAGAAACGUGGUCAACAAGUUGGCCAUGUGCCACACAUGUUGUUAGCUUGAAGAUCAAGCUAACUAUGUGGCCCACACGUAGAAAAACUUGCCUUGUAAGUCAAGGCAUGUGUCCUAUAAAGUCAACACAUAUUGGAGGUCCUAUAGAACGUCGCCACGUAGCCCUUAGUUAGAUAGUAUAUAUAGAGACAAGAGUGAAGGCUUCUUCACUCUUGUCAACUCCUUUCUUGCUUCUAGUCCAGGUUCAAGAGUCUUUAAUUUCUUGUCUUGUGGCAAUAGCCAUUCCAGUUUCCUUUUAAUAUACCUACUUGUUUAUAUUUUGACUUAUUAUAUUGAGAUAGCCUUUUGGUGUAUAUUUUCCCUCAUCGAGUCUUUGUCCUUGACAACAUGUUGUUCUUAAGGAUCUUCAUCUCGAUUGCGUCAUCUUGAAGAUUGUGACAAUCGUAAUGUCUCGUCUGACAAGUCAACAAAUGAAGGCUCUUGAGUUGAAUUCACUGGUUGUUGAUUUUCCAUCUCCUUAGUGUUACAACUACAAAGAAGAUACAAACAAAAAUUCAUAGUAGAAUGUUAUCUUGCUUAGAGCUUGUUUCUUUUAUAAGGAAUAUUUUCGUCUUGAUUUUGAUAGAUGUCUUUGAUGAAAAGCCUCCACUGCCUUUGCUGCAUUUAUAAGAUUCUUUAUUCACUCCUAUGUGCGUUCACUAAUAUCAUAUCCAUGCUAAUAGACAAGGCAUUCUAAUUUAUUUUGAUGCCGCCUUGAAUCUAGGACUUCUUCCAUUUCAAACUCUUCAUUAUUGUCCACUUUUAUAAGAGGAGGUAAAACUUAUCUUCUUCUUGGUAUGUCGACUAUCUUGUAUGAUUCAAAAAGAGACACAUGGAAUAUUGGAUGGAUUUUCAUUGACUUUGGUAGGUAUAAAUAAUAUACAACUAGAUUGAUUUGUGCAGAAAUAGAAAAUGGUCCAAACCUUUGAUAGUCCAACUUGUCACAAGGACAAGUGAUCUUCAUAUUACGACAAAGUAACCAUACCUUAUCACACAUGUGAAAUAGUAGUUGUUCCUUUUAAUAGACAUCCGCAUUGACCUUUUGUUAUUCUUGAGCUUCUUUUAACUGCACCUUUAUCGUUGCAUGUAGCUUUGACAAAUGAAUUGCCAAAUCUUUUGCAGCAUGAUUAUCAACUUUUGAAAAGUCAAAAGUAUCAAGUCGUAGAUGAUAACCAUAAUUGACAAAGAAAGGUGUUUAUUUUGUAAAAAAAUGUAUCACGUUAUUAUAAAUAAACUCUACCAAUGGCAAAAGAGUUGUCUAAUCAUCUUAUUGGUAGUUGGUGGUUCAUCUUAAAUACUACUCUAAAACUUGAUUAAUACACUUUGUUUGUCCAUCAGUUUGAGGAUGGAAUGCCAAGGAUAGUUUUAUAUUUACUUUUAAAAUUUUAAAAAGAAUUUGCCAAAAUCUUGAUACAAACUAAGUUCUUGUAUUUGAUAUAAUAUCCUUGGAUAGUCUAUGAUAGCAAUAGAUAUUAUUAAGAAAGAGCUUAGCUAUUUUUGCUCCUGUGAUAGGUUUUGUAUAUAGUACAAAAUGUGCCAUCUUAGUAAAACGAUCUACUAUCACGAAUAUAAAGUCAUAAAAACUUGAGAUUGGAAGAUCUAUGAUGAAAUCUAUAGAAACAAAAGACCAUGGUUGUUCUAGAAUGGAUAAUGGCUGAAGAAGUUCAUAAGGUCUAUCACGAGGAGUUUUUGAUCUUGAGCAAACAUCACAAGAUUGCACAAAAUCUUUGAUUGCCUUACACAUUUGGAGCCACCAAAAAUCUUUGGAUAUUAGUUCUAAAGUUUUAUUGUAUCCAAAAUAUUCUGUUGUUAGAAAAUCAUGACAAGCUUGAAAAACAUGUAAUUAAGUUUCACCUUUUGGAACAUAUAGGCAUGCCUCGAAAUAUAGUAGAUUAUUUUUGAAUUCAAACUUGGAGGUAUCAUGAGACUUUGAAGGAUUUUGCUUAAUAACACAAAUAAGAAGAUUAGAAGACAUAGUUGAUUGAACUUGCUUAAUGAAAGUUGAAUCAACAGUUACUGUUGAUUUCAUUGCUCAAAGAUGAAGAUGCUCUAGCUUUAAGAGAAUUAUCCAUUGUUGAUCAAAAGCAACAUCUCCUUCCUUUGCUGCAAGAUAAGAUCGUCCGAAGAAUGCAUCUGACAAACCUUGUUGUUUUUUUAGUCAAUAAGUGAUCUUGAAUUCGAAUCUUAAUAAAGACAUAUUUCAACGGGCUUGGUGAUGAUUCAAAAUACGUGCUGACAUAAAAUAUUCAAGAUUCUUGUCAUCCAUAUACAUAGUGAUUAGGCUAGAAGCAUCUUUUAGAUAAUGGUGCCAUUCUUGAAAUGAAUCCACAAUUGCAAGGAAUUCUUUGUCAUGGAUCUUGUAGUUGAUCUUGGCUACUAAAAAUUUUAUAAAAUGAAAAGUUAUUAGAUGAAGUUUAUCAUCUGUUUCCAUUUCUGACAAUAUAGCACCAAAAGCAAAGUUUGAUACAUCUGUUUCUAUAAAAAAUGGCUUAGAAAAAUCGACGCGAUACAAGAUUGGUGCAGAAACAAAGUCUAUCUUCAAAGCUUCAAAUGCUACUUCCGCUUCUUGAUUCCAUUGAAGUUUGUCUUUACAAGUCAAAUGUAUAAGUGGACUUGCAACUUGAGAGAAGUCUUUGAUAAAGAUCCGAUGGUGGUUGGAAAAUCCCAAAAAGCAUUGGACAUCUCUUACCGUUGUAGUAAUACGUGAAGUCUUGCUUGAGAAUGCUCCAGGCACCUGACUGUAGAAGGUAGAAUGAAAAUUGUAACAAGAAAAUCCUUACUCUAAUAGAAUACUAACUAAAUUCUAAUUAGACCAUAAUAAUAUUAAACAAGCUUUAAUCGAAUUCAAAGAAACCUCAAAGAAAUUUCAAAGAAAUAAUAAGAAAUCUUAAAGAAACAUUAGAAUGAUCACAAAUAUAUCUCAAAUAUAUCUCAAUUUAAUCUUAAUUUAAUCCUAGUUAAAAUCUUAUUGUAAUUCAUUCAAACUUUAGGCCAAAAACUAACUAAAUCUUAAAUCCUAAAUAAAUCCUAAUAAAAUCUUAAAUCCUAAACCAAACCCUAAAUCCUAAAUCAAAUCCUAAACCAAAUCCUAAAUCCUAAAUUAAAUCCUAACCAAACAAUAAAUCCUAAAUCAAAUCCUAAAUCCUAAACCAAAUCCUAAAUCCUAAAUCAAAUCCUAAAAAAACCUAAAUCAAACCUUAAAUCCUAAAUCAAACCCUAAUCAAAUCCUAGUAAUUCCUACAACAGAUUUAAACGUCAAUAACUAAUAAAUUAAU
rnacentral:lncRNA from 1 species